rnacentral:lncRNA from 1 species
CCCUUCAAUCUUCUUAAUAAGAACCUUCCUUCCAUCCUUCUUAUUUAGAAACCGUGGACCUCAGCCACUCUCCCCUUCCUUAUGGGCUAACAUUCUUGCCAAUACAUUAUCUUCAUUCUGUUCCGGAUUGUAAUCUCUAAUGAAGAAUAUAGCUCCAUGAGCAAAGGCUCCUGUCAUGAUGAACCCUGCAAUGUAUUGGUGAUGAGUAUAUAAAGCAGCCUGAGUAGUAAAGUCUUGGGCUAUAAAUGCAUAAGUAGGUAAGGAGUACAUGUGUUGAGCUACUAAAGAAGUAACAACCCCUAAAGAAGUGUAUGUGUUGAGCAAGACCUAAUUGAAAAUUAAUCGAAUUAUAGGGUUUAGAAUCAUAGGAGGAAACAAAGAUGUAUCAUAUUAUUUAAAUUAAAACAAAUCUUAGGAAAAGAUCUAAAUGAUCUCUUCCUAAGAUUUGUUUUAAUUUAUUUAUAUAUUAUAGACUUCUUCUAUUUACAUAUUUAUAUUGUACUUAUAUUUUAUUUUUUUAAUUAAUAUUAUAUUAUAAGUUUUUAUAAAUUUUUUAUUUCAAUAAUAAUUGUUAUCUUUUUCCGACGUAAAACUAAAAAAAAAGAUAGCUUAUCUUAUAAAAAUGAAACUCAAUAUAAUAGUGAUAAGUCUGUCUAGCCCUUGUCUAUGGUUCAAAAAAAUGAUUCUAGAAUCAUUUUCAAUAAGCAAUUUACAUUAUUGAUGUAGCAAAACUGUUGGUGAUGACCCUUUGAGUUGAGCGGAAGUUGAGGUUGGCGGAAGAUGGGUUGAAAUCACGACUUGAAUCCUCAAAAGUCGAGAUUUUUGGUGAAGCCUCCUUGUCUUGAAUCCACAAAAUGAAGAAGCUAUUCCCUUGGUGCUCAAGGGCGGAUCCUGAAUCCAUAGAACCAACGAACUAACUCUUUGAGUCCACAAGGAUGCUGGGGUCCACUAGUAGAGGGAAAAAACUCUCAAGGAGAAGAAAUUCAUGAAAUUCUAUUCGUAAAAAUAAGUUCAAUGCCCUUGGACUACAUGAGGCAUCCUUAAAUAGGCUAGAGCUUGUGAAAAGGGUGCCAACUUUGAAUUUCAAAUGAAAUUUGAAAAUUAGGAGGGAAUUACAUUUGAGAAAGUUUAAGGAAUAGAAAUGGGCUUAAAAUAAAGUAAAAUAGGCUUUUCUAGAAGGUGGUGUAAAGGUAGGUGACAAUUAUGGAAGGAAAAUGAAUAGAGGAAAGAAGAGAAAUAGAAAGAGGCUUUAAAUAGGCUAAAAUAGGAAGGGCUGAAUAAAGAAUGGGAUUUAUGGUGGCAGCAAUAAGAUAAGAUCUAAAAUAGAAGGUAGAUGAGCUAGUGUAAAGGGUUCUAAAAAUAGAAGGGUCUAAAAAUAGAAAGUUCUAAAAAUAGAAGGGUCUAAAGAGUUCUAAAAAUAGAAGGUUUUAAAUAUAGAAAGUUCUAAAAAUAGAAAGUUGAUCUUCAGGUCUUGAGGUCUUCUCCGCCAAUGGAUGUGAUAUUGGCUGCAUCAAUUAUAGAAGAAACAAAUGUAUAUGUGAUGUUAUAAAUUCACUAAUUAUAGUUAAACAAUGGUAUCUCUAAUUAUAGCCCCUCUAGGACGUAAAAUAUAUCUCUUCUCACCAUCCCCAUAGUGUAUGAGACAAAUGUAUGUAUUUCGGUUAGGGUUGUAUUCUAUGGUUACGAUUCUACCAUAUAUGUCUUUUUCAUUCCAUCGAAAAUCAAUUUUAUGGUAUAGACGCUUAUGACCUCCCCCUCUAUGUCCUAUGGUAAUGAUUCCUCUAGCAUUACAACAUUUACCACAACAAUGUUGUCCAUAGAUUAAAUUAUUUUGUGGAUUGGAUUUCACUUUUCUGUCUACAGCUCUGUUGCAUGUGCUAGAGGUAGAAGUUUUGUAUAAAUGUAUCACCAUGUUAUUAAGUAUUUUGCUUUAAGUUCUUUUCUCUAUAAGAGGUGAAAUAGAAUAACCCAGUUGAAGCGUAAUGAUCAUACAUCUGAGCCAUACUUGGUAUUCAAGUUUCCACUACAAAGGAAAAAUCUGAAGCUAGUUUUCAAGAAACCGCUCGAGUUUUAGCAAAAGCUGUUCUAUGAGAUUGUAUUGAUUGGUUGAAAGGCCUGAAAGAAAAUGUUGUUUUGGGGGGGAAUUGACGCAGCGAAACUGUUGGCGAUGACCCUUUGAGUUGAGCGGAUGUUGAGGUUGGCGAAAGAGGGGUUGAAAUCACGACUUAAAUCCUCAAAAGUCAAGAUUUUUGGUGAAGCCUCCUUGUCUUGAAUCCACAAAACGAAGAAGCUAUUCCCUUGGUGCUCAAGGGUGGAUCCAGAAUCCACAAAACCAACGAACUAACUCCCUAAGUCCACAGAGAUGCUGAAGUCCACCAGUAGAAGGGAGAAACUCUCAAGGAGAAGAAACUCACGAAAUUCUAUCCAUAAAAAAUAAGUUGAAUGCCCAUGGGCUACAUGGGGCGUCCUUAAAUAGGCUAGAGCCUGUGAAAAGGGCGCCAACUUUGAAUUUCAAAUGAAUUUUGAAAAUUAAGAGGGAAUUACAUUUGAGAAAGUUUCUGGAAUAGAAAUGGGCUUAAAAUAGAACGAAAUAGGCUUUUCUAGAAGGUGGUGUAAAGGCAAGUAAGAGUUAUGGAAGGAAAAUGAAUAGAGGAAAGAAGAGAAAUAGAAAGAGACUUUAAAUAGGCUAAAAUAAGAAGGUGCUGAAUAAAGAAUGAGAUUUAUGGUGACAGCAAUAAGAUGAGAUCUGAAAUAGAAAGUAUAUGAGCUAGUGUAAAGGGUUUUAAAAAUAGAAGGGUCUAAAAAUAGAAAGUUGAUCUUCAGGUCUUGAAGUCUUCUCUGCCAGUGGAUGUGAUAUUGGCUGCAUCAAGAAUUAUACCUGUUGGUACUGGAUUCAAAAAAUUAGUACAUCAUUUAAGGUAGCAUAAAAACAUUCAUUUGGAAAUCAAAAAGAAGAAUUUGUUUGAAGGAAAGAUGAGAGAUAUCUUAUUUCACCAUAGAGAAUUUUUUAUUUCUUGCAUCUGAAACAACUUUCAUUAGACAUCAUAACAAUCAUUUACAUGAUUGAAUGAUUCCUAACCUAAAGACUAAAUUUGUGCUCAUUUUUUUAUUAUAAUUUAAUAAUCCGGUCCCUAUUUCUUAUUUGAUGAAAAAAUAAAGAUCAUAAUCAAUUAAAAGUCUCUAUGAGGCUGAAAGGAUCUAGAUAGAGAAGAUAUUCUUCUCGCCCUGAACAUUUCUCUCCUAACUACAACUAUCACAGGUUUCACUACAUACUUUUAGCAUUUUUACCUGGUAAAACCCUUGCCCUUUGAUUUGUGAUUGGGAUUUCCAACAGGGAUCUUGUUCACACCUUAUCAUAUGGGCAUGAUCUGCCAGAUGCUUCUCGAUGCUUGCUCUCCAAAUUGGGUCUUUACCCCCAAGCAAACCGUUUCAUCGAAUUAGGAAAACUUUUCAAAUGCAUGUGUGAAAAAUGUGAUCAGAACUUAUAUCUUUCCCUCAGGUAUGGGUGGUAGGUGAGGUAAAAAUAAAGUAUAUGUGAGAUGUAGCACCAUCACAAGAGGUAUGAGACUGCGUACUAGAAUAAUUUUAUUUCAAGUAAUGAAUUAAUUGGUUUUUUUCAUAUGAAUCCAAUAAUGUCUUUUUUUUUAAUUGUACAACGUUGAUUGACUCUAUUUGUCCAUUUUUGUGGUACUAAUUGAGACCAUUGAGUUUGAGAUAAAUUGUAUUCUAGAUAUCAUCAUAUACAUCUAGAAAGCCAUAUGCUUUGGAAGAAUCUUGUAUAGUUUGGGAAGGGGCUUUUUUGAUAAUAAAAAAAAAAAGAAUUUACUUCAACCGAUAUGCCCUAUCAUUUUCCUUAGAUCCCUUAUUUCACUCCAAUAGUAUGAUGUAUCUCAAUGUAUGCAAAGGAAAUGGAUGCAUUUCCAUACUAUAAACUAUAAACAGGUAGAAUAGAUAGAACAUAAUAUAGAUAAUGUCACAUCACCUAUUUUACAGGAUCUUAUAGAGCCUGUUCAUGCAUGACAUGGAUUUGGGUAUGAUCAUGGAAAAGAUUCUCCUCAAGUGAACUNNNNNNNNNNNNNNNNNNNNNNNNNNNNNNNNNNNNNNNNNNNNNNNNNNNNNNNNNNNNNNNNNNNNNNNNNNNNNNNNNNNNNNNNNNNNNNNNNNNNNNNNNNNNNNNNNNNNNNNNNNNNNNNNNNNNNNNNNNNNNNNNNNNNNNNNNNNNNNNNNNNNNNNNNNNNNNNNNNNNNNNNNNNNNNNNNNNNNNNNNNNNNNNNNNNNNNNNNNNNNNNNNNNNNNNNNNNNNNNNNNNNNNNNNNNNNNNNNNNNNNNNNNNNNNNNNNNNNNNNNNNNNNNNNNNNNNNNNNNNNNNNNNNNNNNNNNNNNNNNNNNNNNNNNNNNNNNNNNNNNNNNNNNNNNNNNNNNNNNNNNNNNNNNNNNNNNNNNNNNNNNNNNNNNNNNNNNNNNNNNNNNNNNNNNNNNNNNNNNNNNNNNNNNNNNNNNNNNNNNNNNNNNNNNNNNNNNNNNNNNNNNNNNNNNNNNNNNNNNNNNNNNNNNNNNNNNNNNNNNNNNNNNNNNNNNNNNNNNNNNNNNNNNNNNNNNNNNNNNNNNNNNNNNNNNNNNNNNNNNNNNNNNNNNNNNNNNNNNNNNNNNNNNNNNNNNNNNNNNNNNNNNNNNNNNNNNNNNNNNNNNNNNNNNNNNNNNNNNNNNNNNNNNNNNNNNNNNNNNNNNNNNNNNNNNNNNNNNNNNNNNNNNNNNNNNNNNNNNNNNNNNNNNNNNNUUGCUUACAUAUCAUUAAGCAGUGCAUUAACAUAAAUACGGCAGUAAGGAGAGGUAAUACAAAAGUGUGUAAACUAUAAAAACCAGUCAAAGUGGAUUGACCCACACUAGAACUUCCUCAUAAUAACUCUACUAAAGGUGAUCCUAUUACCGAAAUGGCAUCAGGUAUGCCCAUCACAAUUUUAACUGCCCACUAACCAGUUACACCAAAAGAUGCAGUCAAUACAGCCAGAACUACACCGGUAACCCAAGUUAAUUCGCAAGGUUUUUUAAAUCCGCCUGUGAGAUAUACACGAAAUAUGUGUCAAAUCAUCAUUAGAACCAUCAUACUUGCUGACCAUCGAUGAACUGAUCGGAUUAACCAACCAAAGUUCGCCUCAGUCAUUAUGUAUGGAAUAGAGGCAAAGGCCUCUAUAACAGUUAGUCAAUAGUAAAAAAUCAUAACAAAACCCAUAGCUACUUGUACUAAAAAACAAGUGUGAUCCCUCUAGAAAAUAAAAUAUGUUGAUGUGAGGAGGAACAAUGUUCCAAGGUGUGAAGUGGGGAAGAAGAGAUGUCAUAAUUGGGGUUUUGAAUAAGACGAUCUUUGCAUUUUUCAUUUUAUUUUAUUUUUCAUAUUUUAUAAAAUAAGAGGUGUUAAGCUUUUUAUCAUUCUGGCUCAAGCCAAUUUUCCGCAGGACCACCAAGUUCUACCGUCACUGCAGUAGAGUUUAACCACCAAGUUCAGGAUGGAUUGGUGUGUUUCCUCUACGCCUAGUACACCAGAAAAUCAAAAUAAAUAUUCAAAGAAUAAAAAUAAAAAAGAUUCCAUAGAGACAGUUAUGAAUUUGAUUGAGUUCCUGUCACUUGACCAAACAACCCCCAAUUCAAUUAUUUCAACUACAUUGAAUGAUCUUUAAAAUUGGUCAAGACUCGAGUUUAUGGCCGCUUCUAUAUGGUACCAGUUGUUGUGUUAUUGAAUUUGAUGCAUUAAUAGGCUGCAUCAAGUCCUAGGCAAGUGGACUUAAUUUUAACAGCUAGCACAGUAACAAUGAAGACAGCCUUCUUUAGUAAGAUUAUAUGAACAAAUGCCUGAACCAAAAUAUGUGAUUGCUAUGGGAGCCUGUACUAUUACAGGAGGGAUGUUUAGUACCGAUUCUUAUAGUACUGUUCGGGGAGUCUUGAUGAGUUAAUUCUUGUGGAUGUUUGUUUGCCAGGUUGCCCACCUAAACUAGAGGCAAUUAUAGAUGCAAUAAUGAAACUUCGUAACAAGAUGUCUCGAGAACUAUAUGAAGAUAGAAUUGGCUCUCAACAAGAAAAUUGAUGUUUUACCACCAAUCACAAGUUUAAUGUUCAGCGCGGUAUUCAUACUAGAAAUUACAGUCAAGAAUUGCCCUAUCAGUCACCAUCUACUUCAUAAAUACCUUCUGAAGAAUUUUUUAGAUCCAAAAAGUGAAUUGAGUGGGUUGCUUUUGCGCAGAAUGAUGUAGUGAGCCAAUAUAACAUCUAUUGGACCAGAACACACGAAGACCUGAAGAUCAAUUUUCCAUUUUUUUUGAAGUUUCUAUUUUUAGAACUUUCUAUUUUUAGACCCUUCUAUAUUUAGAUCCUUCUGAUAUUUCGUUCACUUUCUAUUUUUAGACCUUCCAUCUUUAGAUCACUUUCUAUAUUUAGGUCUCAUCCUUUCUUUAUUCCCCUUCUAUUUUAGACACCACCUUUUAUGUUCACCACCUUCUAAAAUCUAUUUAACCCUAUUGAAAACCUCUUUCUAUUUCUCUUCUUUCCUCUAUUCAUUUUCCUUCCAUAAUUGUCACCUGCCUUUACACCACCUUCUAGAAAAGCCUAUUUCAUUCUAUUUUAAGCCCAUUUCUAUUCCAGAAACUUACACAAAUGUAAUUCCCUCCUAAUUUUCAAAUUUCGUUUGAAAUUCAAAGUUGGCACCCUUUUCACAGGCUCUAGCCUAUUUAAGGACGCCUCAUGUAGCCUAAGGGCAUUGAACUUAUUUUUUAUGAAUAGAAUUUCGUGAGUUUCUUCUCCUUGAGAGUUUCUCCCCUCUGCUAGUGGACUCCAGCAUCCUUGUGGACUCAAGGAGUUAGUUCGUUAGUUCUGUGGAUUCAGGAUCCACCAUUGAGCACCAAGGGAAUAGCUUCUUCGUUUUGUGGAUUCAAGACAAGGAGGCUUCACCAAAAAUCUCGACUUUUGAGGGUUCAAGUCGUGAUUUCAACCCAUCUUCCGCCAACCUCAACAUCCACUCAACUCAAAGGGUCAUCACCAACAAUUUCGCUGCGUCAAGUGGUAUCAGAGCAAGGUCAACUGUCCAAAUUUAUAUCUCAGAUUCAUUGGCAUCGAGAUACUCUCUUUGGGUGUUUCAAAAUUUAGUGCUCGUAUUCAAAUUUUCAGCAUAUCUUUGAGUUGUGCAUCAAGGAUUUCUUUUCCUUCAGUAUCAGUUUUUGGAAUAAUUCAAAUCAGGUCUUAUUAAUCCAUGUUUGAAAGAUGAGUGUAGAAGAUGAUCAUGUUCAACAUCACAAAAUUUUUAGAACAAGAUUCACUGUUUGCAAGAAAGUUGUUAAAGUGAUCAUUAACAACACUAUUGGUGCCAAUUAUGUUUCAACAGACAUGGUUCAAAAAUUAGGGUUGAAAAGAGUGGAACAUCUUGAUCCAUAUAAAUGUGAUUGGAUCAAGAAAGAUUGUGAAGUAGAUAUUACAGAAAGAUGUUUAGUGAAAGUUUCAUGCAAGGACAAGUAUUAUGAUGAAAUUGAAUGUGAUAUAAUUGACAUUGAUUUCUGUCAUAUGCUGCUAGGAGGACCUUGGCAGUCUGAUUUAAAUGCAACAUAUAACUACAUGAAGAAUCAAUAUGUAGUUUACCAAGGUGGACAGAAAUUAGUAUUCCGUUCUCUCAAAAGUUUUUCAGAUUCUAAGAAAAGUGCAGAAAAUCAAGUUGCAACAGAUGUAAAGAAAGAUAUUACUGUGGAUGUUGUCAUUCAUCUAGGACCAAUAUUUUCUUAUCAGUCGACACUUGAUCAUAUUGACUUUCUAGACAUUUGGAUAAACUCAAAUAUACAGUGUUUAGAUAGUAAGCCGGAUGAACAACUACAUCAAAGAGAUUUAUCUCAAGGAAAUAGCAAGAAAGAGGCCAUUCAUGGAGAUAGAAGCUCAAUCCAUGCAAGUGUCAAAGGAAAACAAUAUCAACAGCCAAGUAAAUUUUGGAUAAAUGCUUUCCUUAUUUUUGACGACCAGAGAUUAAUAGUUAGACAAAAUUACAAAUAUCUGACACCAGCCUCUAUAUGUUUAAAAGUUCAUUGGUUCAACUUUGGCUGCAUGUAUAAGUCAAAACAAAUAAACUUGUGGAUCAGUUCCAUUCAAGUUAGAGAGACUGAUGUAGACCAAGAAAUCAUAUCAAAUGAAGACAUGAAGAUUUUUGAUCCAGGCGGACAAAAACUACAGGAAAAUGUAUCAAGGAAGCUGAAGAAGCCUUAGUUCAAUGUGCCACAAUUUCAGGAAUAUUGUCUUGCAGUAACGACAACUUGAGGAUGAGUUAUUUUGAAGAAGAGGAGACUAAUGAGGCCCCAUUUCAAUACAACUCAAGAAUACCAAAGAACAUGAGGCGUGAAGACCUAUUUAGAGUCAACGAUGCUACCUAGAAAAAGUUUGCUACUAAUCACACGUGGACUAGUUCUCUUGAAGAAGGGGAGACUGAUGUAGUGAGCCAAUAUAACAUCUAUUGGACCAGAACACACGAAGACCUGAAGAUCAAUUUUCCAUUUUUUUUGAAGUUUCUAUUUUUAGAACUUUCUAUUUUUAGACCCUUCUAUAUUUAGAUCCUUCUGAUAUUUCGUUCACUUUCUAUUUUUAGACCUUCCAUCUUUAGAUCACUUUCUAUAUUUAGGUCUCAUCCUUUCUUUAUUCCCCUUCUAUUUUAGACACCACCUUUUAUGUUCACCACCUUCUAAAAUCUAUUUAACCCUAUUGAAAACCUCUUUCUAUUUCUCUUCUUUCCUCUAUUCAUUUUCCUUCCAUAACUGUCACCUACCUUUACACCACCUUCUAGAAAAGCCUAUUUCAUUCUAUUUUAAGCCCAUUUCUAUUCCAGAAACUUUCUCAAAUGUAAUUCCCUCCUAAUUUUCAAAUUUCGUUUGAAAUUCAAAGUUGGCACCCUUUUCACAGGCUCUAGCCUAUUUAAGGACGCCUCAUGUAGCCUAAGGGCAUUGAACUUAUUUUUAUGAAUAGAAUUUCAUGAGUUUCUUCUCCUUGAGAGUUUCUCCCCUCUACUGGUGGACCCCAGCAUCUUUGUGGACUCAGGGAGUUAGUUCGUUGGUUCUGUGGAUUCAGGAUUCGCCCUUGAGCACCAAGGGAAUAGCUUCUUUGUUUUGUAGAUUCAAGACAAGGAGGCUUCACCAAAAAUCUCAACUUUUGAGGAUUCAAGUCGUGAUUUCAACCCAUCUUCCACCAACUUCAACAUCCACUCAACUCAAAGGGUCAUCACUAAUAGUUUCGCUGCGUCACAAAAUGACAAAAAGCUUCAAUCUUUAUAAAUUUCAUUGUAAAUAUGAAAUACUUAUACAAAUACAAAUGUGGGAGAGAUCAAGGAGAUGCAGAAUCAUUUAUCUGCUUGGAUGGUCAAGCAUGAGCUUGUUCAUAGAUCCUUGGGCUUCAAUUACCAAGGAAUAGAGACUUUACAAAUAAAACCGGAAGAUUGGGACUCCAUUGCUGUCAUUUCGUAUGUGUACGCUCUCAAUGUGCCUAUGAUGUCACACCUGGCGGAUUUUUAGCUAGUGUAUAUCAUCUUACGAGAGUACAGCAUGGGGUGGAUCAACCGGAGGAAGUAUGUAUAAAAGUAUUUGCCCAAGGGCAAAAUCCUAGGGUCCCAUCUGUUUUCUGGGUUUGGAGGGGUGCUGAUUUUCAAGAACGUGAAUGUUAUGAUAUGUUGGGAAUUGCUUAUGAGGAUCAUCCACGCCUAAAACGUUUUUUUUGAUGCCUGAAAGUUGGAUAGGCUGGCCUUUACGUAAGGACUAUAUUACCCCCAUUUUGGCAAAUAAAAUACAUAUCCUUCCACUUAAUGAUAUCCUAUUAGGAAUGGCUAAACGAGUACAAUCCGCUUGGCAUGAUGAUUUCAUUAUCAAUCUAGCAUCCGCAGUUAAUAAAAUAUGCAUCUUAUUUGCCCACUUUUAUGGACUUCUGUGGCAGGAUCUAGCAAGAUCAGGGGUCUUACAUUUUCAUGAAACAGAUCUACCAAGAACUUUAAUCAUUUUUGAUAAUACAUACGUGUCUCCUAACAUUUAUAUGAAUGCACCAGAAAUGAGAGAACAAAUAGCGAUAGCUGCUGCUUUUAAGUAUAGAAAGCGUAUUUCUACACAAGAGGCUAUCAUGAGUUCCUCUGCAUAUCUAAGUGAAUGCGAACAAAAUCAUGUAAUAGACGUUGCUGUUAAAGGAAGUGAUCCAUUUCAAUUUACAUCCAAAAUGUUAUGUUAUAAAAGAGAUGAUAAUUAUAAGAAUGAACCUAUGAAUCAAGAUGCUAGUGCUAGUGCCUAUCAGAUUGUGAGUUAUCCAUUACUUAAUGAAGAAAAAGGCCCAAAAGGGUAAUUGGGCAUAUUUCUGAUAGGAGAUCAGAACGUUUUCCCUUGGAGAUGGAAAAUAUCGUCCCCCAGGUUUUUUUAUCAAUUUGCAAAUCUUGCCUCGAAACAUCCAUUUGUAAAUGGGUAUAGACAGUAUUUCAUCAUUCUCCGUGAUAUUGACCACAUUUCUGAUCCCUAUUUGCAUCCCAGUGGGUUGGUCUAAUAUGAGAAGUUAUGGGAAAGAGUAUAUAUUACAGCAUCUCUAAUUCGUGAAUUUCUAAUGAUCGCUGUGUCCUGCAUGUUGGAUCCUCUAUCUACUAUUUAUUCUAUGUUCUUCCUGAAAGUAUGCCGAUCCCUAUGUUGCGCGGAGCUGAGUAUCCUCUAUUCACUGGGAUAAAGAUUUUCCUCUGCAGGGGCCGUGUGCAGUAAACCCCCUACAGGCAGUCCUCUGUUGUCAUAAACUCAAGUAGUCCCCCUGAAGCUUCCGGGAAGAGGGGGUAGUCUUGUGCGUAAGCAUGGCGCUCCUGGUUGAACCACCGAACCACACAUCUUCUUUUGGUGGGAGGGUACCCUGAGUAGUGGGUACCUCGUAGGACUAUCUAUGGUUUUAUAUACAUUGAUAGCAUGAUAAAUAUAGUAGUAAUAUCUAUGGUUUUAUAUGCUUUUGGGCUUUAAAUUUCUCCUAUGUCAUGCUAGCAAUAUUAAAAUAAUGAAUGUGAGUAACUACUUCGUAUUUACUUCUAUUCAUGAAAAAUCAGUGAUAUACAUAUGAUUUAUGAUUUAUAUAGAAUUAUUGAUGAUUUAAAUAUAGAAAACAAUAUAUACCAUUUCAUGAGUAUUAACCUUGAAAUAUCUUGCAUUAAUUCAAGCACAUGUGCACAUUACUUCAUUUGUUUCUUUUUAUAACUAACCUUGCUUGACUUCUUGGAAGUCAAGCAAUUUUAUUAUUGAUGAAUAUUUUUAACAUAUGGUGUGCAGGAGUUUGGUGAAUUUAAUCAAGUAAUUAAUUAAAGAGCUUGAAGUAUAUUGGGCUGGAAGAAGAGAUGAUUUAGCUUUGGUCCAAGAAAGGCCCAAAGGAGGAGAGGGGAACAUGACCUUUUCAGCCCAAUCCAUCUUCAAUCAUUCUCUCUAAGAUGGGCCACAGAAUUGAAGAUUAAAAGGGGGCCCAAUCAAAGCAAGGAAGGAGAAAGGGCAUGUGAAGAUAAAUGAGAAAAGGGAGGGUUCUUUUGGGAAAAAUGUUCCUAUAUAUAAAACCUCUUUUUUUUUCACAUUUUUCCUCAUUCUAGAGAUUGCCCUAGCAGAGGCUAGCCGCAGGAAACAGCUCUCCUAGGAUCCAGAUUGAUAAAUCUGAAUAGAGGUGAUUAUUGCAAUUCUUUUUCUUGAUCUUUGAAGUGUGUUCUUGCUGGAGAAAACUACUUGGUCUGGGCGAAAUAUACAGACCCAACGUAUGCCCUUCUAGAUCUUGAAAAUUCAUGAUUCAUCUUCUAAUAUUCAAUAGAAACAUUAUUUCUCUCAUCCUCUCUCCUUACUUCUAAAAAUCGAAACCCUAAUUUAACAUUUCUUUUUGAGAUCUUAGACUUCUUGAUUUUUGCAAGAAAAUCAAGAUCUCCUUGAUCCUUCCUCCUUUUAUCAUAUUUUCUUCUCUCAAAUCAAUCUCCUAAACCCUAGUUAUAAUUAUAUAAAAUAUUCUUAAAUUCUGAAAUCAGAAUCUUAAUUUUCUUAGAAUAACUCUCUUGAAAAUGAAGAUUCUUGUUCUUCCUUUAUCUUCCUGACGCAAUAGAGAAUUUGACUUUGAUGUAGCCAAGUACUCAAAAUGAUAAUGGGGAAAGUCAGAUUAAAAGUCAAGUGGCCCAACUACGAAUUUGGGCCAUAAAGUGAUACUACUAUAAGGCCCAUGUAGUCACAAUUGAUAUUGACAUCUAAGAAGGCUACUUUAUGUCACAUUCAUUGUGGAAUGUGCUGCAGGCAUCAGUAGUAAAUGUUGUCAGUCUAUCCCAAGUCAUUUCAGGAUAGUCAGAGCCUACUCCUUACUUUAUGUCACUUCUUUCUCUCCAGAAAGUACUUUAUGUCUCUAUCCUUCUAAAAUGUUCUUUAGGAAACAACUUUCAAUGUUAGUAGAGUCUACUUUUUGUCAUGUCAGGCAUUAAUGGUCUCUGUCCUAAGAUCUUUAGAGGAUUCUACUUUUGGGAGCGUCCCAGCUUCUUUUUGGCCUAUAUAAAGGCCCCCCCCCCCUAUAACUUGAGAAGGAUAUCUUUUGAAGUAUUAUCUAUUCUCCUCUGUGAGAGUUCUCCUUUUUUGCUUGUAGAUUCAGGCAACCCCUUGUGGAUUUAAGGGCUGAAGAUUCUGAAUCUGUGGAUUCAGAAGUUGAUUUCUUCUCCAAGUUUUGAGCUUUGUGGAUUCAAGGUCCAAACUUGUUAUCUUCUGUGUUACUGCUGCGUCAGUUGGUAUCAGAGCAAGUCAACAUCCCUAGUCAAUAGUAAAGCAUGUCUCAAGGUAAAUCUGCUCAUAUCAAUGAUGAUGAUUCACCAGAGAUAUGCCCAUUCUCGAAAUCUGAUUUUAUGGAGUUUGAAAAUAGAAUUGGUCAAAAAUUUGAAAAUAUUAGUGAUAUGUUGUAACAAGUUUUGGUAAAAGUGAGUACAAUAGAAUGUAAUGUAUGCCUACCUGAAAAUCAAGAUAUACGGCGUCCUCAAAAAGUGUCACCUAUUGUUAUUUCACUAGAUAGCCACUGUACUUGUAGUUCAACAUGUUCUAAAUCUAGACUUGAAGAUGAUUUUUCUCGAGAUUUUCGGAUGAAGAUUGAUUUACCAUGUUUCAAUGGACAUUUGAAGAUUGAAGAGUUUUUAGAUUGGUUGUCUGAAGUAGAACGAUUUUUCGAAUAUAUGAAAAUUUCUAAAGAGAAACAAGUGAAAUUAUUAGCUUAUAAAUUGAAAGGUGGAGCUUCUACUUGGUGGGAUCAGUUACAAAUCACACGCACCAGGUCAGGAAAAGAACCUGUGCGAUCUUGGGAGAAAAUGAAGAAACUACUAAAAUCUUGUUUUCUUCCCCCAGAUUAUGAGCAGAUUCAAUAUCAGCUGUAUUAAAAUUGUCGUCAAGGACAUAGAUCUAUUUCUGAUUACACUGAAGAGUUUUAUCAUUUAUCUUCUCGAAUUGACUUGACAGAAUUAGAGUCAUAUAUGAUUUCAAGAUUUAAAGGUGGUCUAAGAUGGGAAAUCGAAGACAAGGUAGCUUUACAGUCAUUUUUUAAAUUAAAUGAUAUUAUAAUGGCCGCAGAGAGGGCCGAAGUAUUAUUAGAGAAAGGAAAAAACAGGCUUCGAAAUUUUAGGAGUCAAAAUUCUAAUGUUCAGCUGGAUAGAGGUAGAUCAACAGGUCCCUCACCAACAAUUCAAUCAAGACGACCAAAUCAAACAUCUAUUGCAUCAAGUGGAGGAAAUCUCUCCUCUCAGGUGUCAUCUAACAAGAAUCUAUAUAUGCUUAAUGUUAUUCCAAAAUGUUAUAGGUGCGGGCAAAAUGGACACAAAUCAAAUGUUUGUCCAAAGUGUGGGACUAUCAAUUUGAUAGAUGCAAUAGAAGAGUGUUUUGAACAUGAAGAAUCUGAAAUUGAAGGUGAGAUUGAAGAAAAUUUUAUUGAAUUUAAUGCUGGUGAAGCUUUAUCACAUUCUCUCAUAGUGAGAUGACUGAUGUAUGCAUCAAGGAGGAAGACCCACAACAUCAUAACAUCUUCAGAACAAGGUGCACUGUAGAUAGCAAGGUAUGUGACAUUAUUAUUGACAGUGAGAGUAGUGAAAAUAUUGUUUCAUCUUUAAUGGUGCAGAAGUUAGGCCUGAAAACCAGCCAACACCCUCAUCCAUAUCGAAUCAGUUGGAUUAGAAAAGAUACAGAAAUGAAAGUUUCAGAAACAUGCUUCGUAAAAUUUUCAAUUGGAAAAACAUAUUUUGAUAAAGUAUAGUGCGAUGUUCUGGAGAUGGAUGCUUGCCAUAUGAUUUUAGGUCGUCCUUGGCAGUUUGAUGUUGAUGCCACACAUCGUGGCAAGGAAAAUAUUUAUAUCUUCUAUAAGAAUGGAAAAAAGUUUAUCUUAACUCCAAUGCAAGAUAAUGAUUUCAAAAAGGGAGAAAAAGAGAAAAGGAAAGUAAUGUUGAUCAACCAUAAUGAGUUCUUCACUGACUUUGAUAAAAAUACUCAAUUAUUUAUGGUGAUUCAAAAGCCCAAUUCUACAUCUGCAGCAUCCAUAAUACCAAAGAGUGUUGAGAAUUUAUUAUCUGAUUUUUCUAUUAUUCAAGAUAUGUCUACUCAUCUUCCAACCAUGUGAGAUAUACAACAUCAAAUUGAUUUUAUUCCUGGAGCUAGCUUGCCUAACCUACCACACUACAGGAUGAGACCAGAAGAAAAUCAUAUUCUUCAGGAACAAGUCGAAGAAUUAUUGAGCAUUGGACAGAUAAGAAAAAGUAUGAGCCCAUGCUCAGUACCUGCUCUACUUGUACCAAAGAAAGAUGGAAGUUGGCGAAUGUGCAUCUACAAUAGAGCAAUCAAUAAAAUCACAGUCAAGUAUAGAUUUCUAAUCCCACGACUUGAUGAUAUGUUAGACAUUCUCUGUGGAUCUAAAAUCUUAUCAAAGGUUGAUUUAAAAAGUGGAUACCAUUAGAUUCGAAUUCGACCAAGAGAUGAGUGGAAGACUACAUUCAAAACAAAAGCAAGUCUGUAUGAAUGGUUAGUUAUGCCUUUUGGGUUAUCUAACGCCCCAAGUACUUUUAUGAGGAUUAUGAAUCAAGUUUUAAAGCCUUUCAUUAGAAAAUUUGUUGUGGUAUAUUUUGAUGACAUUUUGAUUUACAGUAUCAUUGAGGAUGAACAUAUUAACCAUCUCAAGUCUGUGUUCAAAGUGUUAGAAGAAAAUAAAUUAUAUAUUAACUUGAAGAAAUGUGAUUUCAUUACUAUUAGCUUAUUGUUCUUGAGAUAUGUUGUUAGUGCAAAUGGAAUUAGUGUGGAUGAGGAAAAAGUCAGAGCUAUUAAAGAUUGGCCAGCCCCAACUAACAUCCAUCAGGUUCAAAGUUUUCAUGGGUUAGCAUCAUUUUACAAAAGAUUCAUCAGAAAUUUUAGUUCAAUAAUGUCACAUGUUACUGAAUGUAUGAAGAAGGGUCAAUUCGUUUGGACUGAGGAAGCCAAUAAGAGUUUUGACUUAAUCAAAGAUAAACUAUGCACUGCUCCUGUAUUAGCCUUACCAAAUUUUGACAAAUUAUUUGAAGUGGAAUGUGAUACAUCUAUUGUUAGUGUUGGUGCUGUACUAUCCCAAGAAGGCCGCCCAGUAGCAUAUUAUAGUGAAAAGCUCUCUGAUGCAAGAAAAAAAUGGACUACUUAUGAGUUAGAAUUUUAUGAUGUGGUUCGUGCAUUGUACACAUGGGAACACUAUUUGAUUCAACGCGAGUUUAUUUUAUAUACUGAUCACCAGGCUUUAAAAUCUCUCAACAAUUAGACUAGCAUUAACAAAAUGCAUGCCAGAUGGGUAUCCUUCAUUUAACAUUUUACUCUUGUCCUUAAACAUAAGUCAGGAAAGUUGAAUCGAGUUGCUGAUGCUUUAAGUUGAAAAAUGACAUGUUUGGUGAAUUUACGAGCUGAAAUUAUAGGAUUUGACUAUCUCAAAGAAUUAUAUUCAAAUGAUGAAGAUUUUUCUCAAGAAUUUAUGACAUGUUUAUCCAGUUCAUUAGCAAAUGGUUUUCAUCUACAUGAUGGUUUUUUAUUUCGAGGAAUACAGUUAUGUAUUUCCCGAGGAUCUCUUAGAGAAAAAUUACUUCGUGAAUUACAUUCUACAGGAUUAACAGAACAUCUUGGUCGUGAUAAAACUUUACACUCACUAGAAGAACGAUAUUUCUGGCCAAAGAUGAAGAAGGAUGUUGAAAAGUUUGUACAAAAGUGUUUGAUUUGUCAAACAUAUAAAGGGCAGAGUCAAAACACGGGUUUAUACAGUCCACUCCUAAUUCCACAACGUCCUUGGGCUGACAUUUCUAUGGAAUUCAUUUUAGGCCUUUCACGUACACAAAGAGGAGCAGAUUCUGUCUUCGUGGUGGUAGAUCGAUUCUCAAAAAUGGCUCAUUUUAUUACUUGCAAAAAGACAAAUGAUGCCGGUCAGGUAGCAAAUCAUUUCUUUAAGGAAAUUGUUCGUCUGCAUGGUGUGCCUGAGUCAAUUACAUCUGAUCGAGAUUCUAAAUUAAUAUCUCAUUUUUGGCGAACACUUUGGAAAAGAUUUGAUACAUUCUUGAAAUUUAGUAAUACCAGUCAUCCGCAAACAGAUGGUCAAAUAGAAGUUGUGAGCAGAACUCUUGGUAACUUAAUUCGUUGUAUUUCUGGUGAAAAACCAAAACAAUGAGAUUUUGCCCUAGCUCAAGUAGAGUUUACUUAUAACUCGAUGGUUAAUCAUUCAACUAAUCAGUCUCCAUUUUCAAUAGUGUAUUGUUUUCCACCUAGAAUUCCUUUAGACCUAUUACAGGUGCCAAAGACACUAAGUACUAAUAUUACUGCAAAUCAUAUGGCAGAUCAUAUCAAAACAAUUCAUGAAAUUGUGAUUCAGAACCUCACGUCAAACUAUGCAAAGUAUAAAGCCACUGCUGACAAGAAAAGAAGAAAGAAGACAUUUGAUGUCGGAGAUCAAGUUAUGAUCUACCUUCGCAAAGAAUGACUUCCAACAGGAACCUACAGUAAAUUGAAGCCCAAGAAAUACGGCCCAUAUCAAGUUUUAAAGAAGAUAAAUGACAAUGCAUACCUGAUUGAGCUCCCAACAAUUAUGGGUAUUUCUCCAACUUUCAAUGUUAGUGACAUAUAUGAAUAUUAUGGAAAUUCUAAUAUAGACUCAAGAAUGAGCUUUUCUAAAGAAGAGGAGAUUGAUGUAGCCCAGUGCUCAAAAUGAUAAUGGGGAAAGUAAGAUUAAAAGUCAAGUGGCCCAACUACGAAUUUGGGCCAUAAAGUGAUACUAUUAUAAGGCCCAUGUAGUCACAAUUGAUAUUGACAUCUGAGAAGGCUACUUUAUGUCACAUUCAUUGUGGAAUGUGCUACAAGCGUUAACAGUAAAUGUUGUUAGUCUGUCCCAGGUCAUUUCAGGAUAGUUAGAGCCUGCUCCUUACUUUAUGUCACUUCUUUCUCUCUAGAAAGUAUUUUAUGUCUCUAUCCUUCUAGAAUGUUCUUUAGGGAACAACUUUCAAUGUUAGCAGAGUCUGCUUUUUGUCAUGUUAGGCAUUAAUGGUCUCUGUCCUAAGAUCUUUAGAGGAUUCUACUUUUGGGAGCGCCCCAGCUUCUUUUUGGCCUAUAUAAAGGCCCCCCCUGUAACCUAAGAAGGAUAUCUUUUGAAGUAUUAUCUAUUCUCCUCUGUGAGAGUUCUCCUUUUUUACUUGUGGAUUUAGGCAACCCCUUGUGGAUUCAAGGGCUGAAGAUUCCGAAUCUGUGGAUUCAGAAGUUGGUUUCUUCUCCAAGUUUUGAGCUUUAUGGAUUCAAGGUCCAAACUUGUUAUCUUCCGUGUUACUGCUGCGUCACUCCCAUAGCAACCACAUAUUUUGGUUCAGGCAUUUGUUCAUAUAAUCUCACUAAUGAAAGAGCCAUUUUCAUUGUGAUAGCAUCUACUAUACGAGGAAUAUUAAUUAACCCAAUUCUCGGAAUUGCUCAGGAUACCUUCUUUUAGCUUAUAAGGUCUAUUUCUUAGUUCAAGAUCCCUCUUACUAAUUGAAAUAAAAGUAUUAGUAGAUCUACUAUGCCCAAAAUGGGAAUGUGCUGGCAUUAUGAACUUAUAAUCAUGGAAUCAACUUGAGCAUCAGAUUAUAAGUUCACUCCAUAUUGGACCAGACCGUCAUAGGGUUAUGUACAUUCUCAUUAUGAGAAGGGGUCAUUCGAGUGUAUGUAAAUAGAUACUAUGUUUACAUAUGGAUCCCUAUGUCGUGACAUUCUAUUUAGGAUUAGGAACUAAAGGAGUUCCUAUGAAUCCAAUGAAUAAAGUAAAUACUACCAAUACAAGCAAAAGAAAUAACAUAGUAUUAUCUGACUCAUGAGGAUACAUAGAAGUAUUUUUUUCAAAAAAGGAGUAGUAAAGUAUCGCAUUUGAUUUAUUACAUUAUGAUCAAAUUCAUAGGUAUUUUUAGAAAAAAACAAAAAGUUUUCAUUAUUAUUAUUGAUUGUUGAGAAAAAAAAUUUCUUGGCUUAGGUGCUUCCUUUCCCCACAAGGAUAUUGAAUAAGAUGAAAUAUUUUGAGUUCCACUGUAAGUUUGAAACUGAACAUGUAAAUUCCCGUCAAAGGUAAGUAGACCCGAAACAUAUAAAAUGCAGUAAGUCAUGCUGUAAAAUAAGCUAUGACUGCGAAAGUGGGUAAAUACAACCAACUUUCACUAAGAAUUUCAUUGAACAAGAGGUGGAAUACCACAAAGAGAAAGUGUACCUAAUAACAAUGUAGUUCUGGUAAUUGGAAUAUAUCUUGUUAAACCACCCAUAAGAACCAUAUUCUGACUUUUAUCGGGUGAAUAUCCACCCAGAGGUUUCAUUGAAUGAAUAAUAUCAUUCAAUGAGCAUCUUGUAUUUCAUAGAAAUUGGGGGUAAUAUAGUCCUUAUGUAAAGGCCAUUGUACCCAACUUUCAAGCAUCAAAAUACAUUUUAGGCGUGGAUGAUUAUCAUAAGAAAUUCCCAACAUAUCAUAAUAUACACAUUCUUGAAAAUCAGCACUCAAAACUCAGAAAAUAGAUGAGACUCUAGGAUUUUGCCUUGGGGCAAAUACUUUUAUACAUACUUCCUCCAGUUGAUUCACUCCAUACUCUAUUCUCGUAAGAUGAUAUACACUAGGUAAAAAUCCACCAGGUAUGACAUCAUAGGCUCACUAAGAGUGUAAGUAAUUGUAACCAUACACAUAUGAAAUGACACCAAUGGAGUCCCAAUCUUCCAGUUUUAUUUGUAAUGUCUCUAUUCCUUGGUAAUCGAAGCCCAAGGAUCUAUGAACAAGCUUAUACUUGACUAGCCAGGUAGAUAAAUGACUCUGCAUCUUCUUGAUCUCUCCCACAUUUGUAUUUGUAUAAGUAUUUCAUAUUUACAAUGAAAUUUAUAAAGAUUGNNNNNNNNNNNNNNNNNNNNNNNNNNNNNNNNNNNNNNNNNNNNNNNNNAAGCUUUUUUUCAUUCUGCACAAAAGCAACCUGCUCAAUUCACUAAUUUGUGGGAAGAUAUUGAACUUUUGGGUCUAAAAAAUUCUUCAGAAGGUAUUUCUGAAGUAGAUGAUGAUUGAUAAAGCAAGAAAGGUCUGCAAUGAAUGCAUGCAGCCAAGUGGAUUCCUGUCCUAAAGGUAACCCAUACUUGAAGUCACAUUGGGCUUGGUUCUGUCUUGUCACACCAGCCCCAACACCAUCUACAGAUUUUAGUUAUCUAUCCCAAGACCUUGCUGGCACUGUUGAAGGCCAAGAAAGAUGCUCUAUCAGUCCCGCUCACAACUGUCUGAAAUUAGACACCUACAUGACUUCCAUGUGAGGAAUAAUACACUACACAGGUGACGCAGCAGAAAAUUUGACUUGAUGGAGAUCUAGAGGAUUUGAUGUAACUUGAUUUGAUAUAAAUAGAAAUCUCAUUCUUGAAUCUACAAAAACGUGAUUUCUGUGAAGAGUCUUCACCUUGAAUCCACAGAAUGAACGAAUCUCAACCCUUGAGUCCACAAGGGGUUGAUCUUGAAUCCAUAAGAUCAGAAUUGGUUCCUUAAUCAAUAGGGAGGCUGGAAUCCACCAACAGAGUAGAUAACUUUCUAGAAAAAAAAAAGAAAAUCUGAAUUCUAUUCAUCAAAAUAUGGCAUUCCCUCUAGGGUUACAAAAGAGGCCUUUACAUAGGCCAAAAAAAUAACUAAUUGACAAGAAAUUCAGAUAUCUAGAGAUCCUAGAAAAUAGGAAAUAUGUUAAAACAAACCCAAAACUCAGGAGGUUAUGGUAAGAACGUCCUUAACUAACUACAAUUCUAGAAGUAAUUAAAAAUGGCCUGAAAGUUAAGUUUGUUACAAACAUUCUUAACUACAAAAAUUUAUAACAAAAAUGUGAAAGAAAAUAAUAGAUUUCAAGAUUUGAACACACUUAACAUGUUCUAAAUCUAUUAUUGGGUGAAAUGAGUCUUCACACCUCCUGUUAUUUGAGAUUACUCAAAUUUAGCUGAAACCGGCCUAUAUUAACAAGGGAAGAUAAACGUGAAAUGACUUUAGGUUUUGUUGAUUUAUUAUGUGAUGAUUAUAUUGAAAAGGACUGAAGUCAUGGUAUUUUCUUUAGUCAAGAUUGGGUCUCUAUGCUAGGUGUUAUACCUAUGGCUUCAGGGGGUAUUCAUGUUUGGCCCCUUUCAAAUAAAUAACCUUUUAGAGGUUUAAUAAAGUAACCCAAAUCUCUAGCAUAUUUUAAUUCCUUGCUAUAAUACACACCUUUAAACUUAGCCACCGGAAAUAUUAAAGUGUUAUUAGUAUACCUAUAUGGCAAGACAGGCCUUUUCAUACCCUCAUGUGUGACUGUACAAAUUAUCUAAAUUAGUAUCUUCCAAAUUAUUUACCCACAGGGGUUCCCCACAAGGCAUAGUAUAAUUUUUGAUAAUAUAAGGAUAUAGAGAAUUAAUGUCAUAAUAGUACAAAUUUCCCCCAUAGGUAUAUAAAUAUCAGUAUGUCCUCCGUAAUAUCCACUCCUAAUGAAUCGAUCCUCAUUCAUAUUAGGAAUAUAUAUAGGAUACUUUUUAUCAUCAUACUAAUGCAUCCUGAAGAUCUUCAUAGAUAGAGAGGAUAAAGUUAAAAUACUCUCUAUGUCUACAUUAUAUUUAUUCCAAUAUAUUUAAUGAGCUUUUAGCAUGAUUCCACCUAAAAAAUGAAUAUCUUGUAUAAUAUAUUCGAUUAACUUCUCCUUCAUAUCAAUAAGAUUUGAUAUAUGAACUUCAUCACGUGCGACUGAACCUUUUAUACCCCAUUGAGGACAAAAAGCCUUAGCUAAUGAAGCUAAGCUUCUAUGUAUAUGAAUCUCUCAAAUGAUAAAGAAACUUAUUAUUUUUAUACACAUUAAUCUCAUAAAUCUGAUGAUUGCUUAUUAAAGGUCUUAUCUUAUACCUAUCUAAUCUUUUGGCAAAAUACUUUAAAAAGAAUAUACCAUCAAAUCGUCCAAAAUUAUGGAAAUAAAUAGUUCUUAAACCUUUAGUACUACUUUCUACAUCUUCUAUGGAUUUAGAUUCAAGAUCUUCCCCAGGGUGAACCACUAAGUAUCCUAGGGCACAGGGUACAUGAGUAUGAUCUAACAUUAAAGUUUCCACAUCAGCCACUAUGAAUGGUUUCAUGCUCUAAAGGUCUUAUAAAUUUUUCAUAGGUUCUCUUUUUAUUGAUGAUAGUUUUAUAAGAAGGCUCUUCCCCACUAGAACACUCUAAUUCCAUAUCCUUCAUAAGACUCUCAAAAAUAUUCCUAUGACUCUCUAAGUUCCAAUUAAUAACCUUAGUAGAUUCGUUUUGUAUAUAAUACACUCUAAGAAAUAUACCUAAAAUAACUCCUCCAUUAUAUUUCUCCAUAACCCUAGUGAUAACUUUUACAACCUCAUUAAAUAUAUCUCAUUUAGGCCUUCUACAGACUUUAACAUCAUGUAAUGGAAUACUAUCUGUGAUGGUAAACGAUAUAUUUCCAUGUUCACAUUUCAUAUCAAACCCUAUAGUAAGCUUAAUAUACUCAGAUUGAGUACAAUACGCAUACUUCAUUAAUAACAUCAGAACAACCAAUGCAAAAAGGCUUAUAGAAGUAAUUCUAGGAGCUUUUACUUCUUCCUCAGAGCCCUUAAACUAAAUUCUAGCUAUAACUAACACUCUAUGCACAACAUAAUAAUCUUCACUUACAGAAUAAGAUAAUAAUAGAUUAAAUAUAUAUUCCAUACUAUUGUAAGUAAAAUUCUUUGAGAAAAAUCUAACCAGAAACCCCCUCUUAUAUCUAACUCUCUUAAUUCUAUCGAUAGUGUGCGUCAUGUAGUAAUAAUCUAUGACUAUCUUCUAAGCUGAUUUUCAAAAGCUAUCUACCUUGAUUUCUAACCUUCAAUCCCUUGAAGGUUUGUUGAUUCCAUAUAUUACUGAUGUAGCCCAAGACACAAGUUGAAGUCCUAACUUCGAAGUUGGGCCCAAUUACCCUAAAUUUGGGCCAUGAAGUGAAAAGUAGUAAAGAGGGAGCCCACAUAUGUCACUAGUGGGCUGGAGGUCCGAAAAAUAAUACUUACUUUCUACUUUAUGUCCUUUCACUUCUAGAAGGCACUUUAUGUCUCUUUCCUUCUUGAAGGGACUUUAAUAUGGUUCAGUCUAUACCCAAGAUAUGCUCAGGAUAUCAGACUGUCAGAGUCUGUACCUAAGAUCUACUCAAUAUAUCUACUUGUCAGAGCUUGCUUUAGGUCACUUCAGAGUUAGUUAGAGUAUUUUCAAAAGAUAUGUUCAAGAUCUCAAUCUAUCAUAGUCUGGUUUAAGUCAUUUUAGUGUUAGUCAGAGUCUGUCCUCGGGAUUUGUUAGGAUCCUUCUUUUAUGAGCACCCCCACCCCCUUUCUAAGCCUAUAUAAAGGCCCCCAUUGUAACUUGAGGGACUUACCUUUGAGUUGAACCAGUUUUCUCCCUUGUGAGAACCUUUCCUUUUUUUGCUUGUGGAUUCAGGCACCCCCUUGUGAACUCAAGGGUUGGAGACUCCGAAUAUGUGGAUUCAGAGGUUAGUUUCUUCUCCAAGAUUAGAGCUUUGUGGAUUUAAGCCCAAAUCUUGUUUAUCUUCUACGUCACUACUGUGUCAGUUGGUAUCAGAGCAAGUCAACGUUCCAGUCAAGGUUCAAAGAUGUCACGAGAUAAAUCUGCUCAUAUUAGUGAUGAUGAUUCACCUGAAGUUACUCUUAUGUUAAAGUCAGAUUUUCUGUUAUUUCAAGAUCGAAUAGAUCAAAAAUUUGAUGAUCUUAAUGAAACCUUGAAACAACUUUUGGCUAGAAUGAGUACAUUAGAGGGUCAUUCACGCCCCCUUAGAGAUCAUAAAAUCAGACGUCUUCAGAAAGUCACUCAUGUCGAAUCUUCAUCAGAUACUCAUUGUACAUCUGAUUCUACAAGUUUUAAAUCAAGAUUUGAAGAAGAUAAUUUUCGAGAUUUUCGUAUGAAGAUUGAUUUACCUUGUUUUAAUAGCCAUUUGAAGAUUAAAGAGUUCUUAGAAUGGUUAGUUGAAGUAGAAUGACUUUUUGAAUAUAUGAAAAGUUCAGAUGAAAAAUAAGUAAAGUUCUUAGCUUAUAAAUUGAAGGGUGGAGCCUCAGCCUGGUCGGAUCAAUUACAAACCACCUGUACAAGGUCAAGCAAAGAACCUAUACGGUCAUGGGAGAAAAUGAAAAAACUUUUGAAAUCUCGUUUUCUUCCCCCAGAUUAUGAACAAAUUUUAUAUCAGUAGUAUCAAACUUGCAGGCAAGGAAUGACGCAACGGAGAAUUUGUCUUCCUGAAGAUCUGAAAAAUUUGAUGCAGCUUGAUUUGAGAUAAAUAGAAAUCUCGUUCUUGAAUCCACAAAAACGUGACUUCGGUGAAGAUCCUUCACCCUGAGUCCACAGAAUGAAUGAACCUUGACCCUUGAGUCCACAAGGGGUUGAUCUUGAAUCCACAAGAUCAGAAGUGGUUCCCUAAACCAACAAGGAGGCUAGAAUCCACCAGCAGAGAAGAUAACUUUUUGAAAAGAAAGGAACUUCGAAUUCUAUUGAUAAAAAUAUGUCCUGCCUCUGGGGCUAUAUGAGAGCCUUUAUAUAGGCCUAAAAGAUAACUAACUUACAAGAAAUUUAGAUCUCUAGAGAUCCUACAAAAUAGGAAACUAUUAAAACAAACCUAAAAUUCAAGAGGUUCUGUUAAGAAUGUCCUUAACUAACUAUAAUACUAGAAGAAGUUAAAAAUAGCCCUAAAGUUAAGAAGUUUGUUACAAAUGUCUUUAACUAUUAACAUUUACUUAAAUAACAAAAACGUGAAAGAAAAUAAUGAAUAAUAGAUUUGAACACAUUUAACAUGUGCUAAAUCUAUUAAUCAGCGAAAUAAGUCUUUACACCUCUUGUUCUUCAAGAUCACUCAAAUUUGGUUGAAAUUGGGCUACAUCAGUCUCCCCUUCUUCAAAUAGAACUCAUCCUCAAGUUAUCAUUAUCUAUUCUUUUAGCUUCCUUGAUAUCUUGUAGUUUUCUCCACCUAGAUCAAAAAUCUUAAUCUCUUCAUUCGACACGAUUCCUUGGGCUGCAUCAGUCUUUGUUGCUUGAAGAAAACUCAUCCACAAGUUCAUUUGUUUAGACCCAUAUAUGUAGUCCAAGUUAAACUGGUUAGAUAAAAGACUUAUAGAGGCUGGUGUCAAAUUGUUAUAAUUUGGUCUAACAAACGUCAGUCUAAUGUUCUCAAAGAUAAUGAAACAUUCUGUCCAACUUUUACUUGAUUGUUGAUAUUAUUUUUCUUUAACACUUGCAUGGAUGUGAUAGCCAAAAACAUAGAUUGAACCUAGAUUGUGAUGAAUGACCUCAUUCUUGUCAUUUCCUCAAGAUAAAUCUCUUGUAGAUAAUUGUUCAUCAUGCUUAAUGUCUAAAUACUGUAAAUUUGUAUUUAUCCAAUUCUCAAGAAAGUCAAUAUGCUGAAAUGUCAACUCAUGAAAAAAUACUGGCCCUAGAUGAAGGCAAACGUCUAUAUGUUUCUUUUCAUCUGUUGCAACUUGAUUUUCUAUACCUUUAUUGGAAUCUGAAAAACUUUUGAGAGAUCGAAACACUAAUUUCUAUCCACCUUGGUAAACUACAUAUUGAUUCUUCAUGUAGUUGUAUGUUGCAUUUAAAUAAGAUUGUCAAGGUCCUCCUAACAGCAUAUGACAAAAAUCAAUGUCAAUUAUAUCACAUUCAAUUUCACCAUAAUAUUUGCCAUUGUAUGAAGCUUUCACUAAACAUCUUUCUAUAAUAUCUACUUCACAAUCUUGUUUGAUCCAAUCACAUUUAUAUGGAUCAGGAUGCUCCACUCUUUUCAAUCCCAAUUUAUGAACCAUAUAUGAUGAAACAUAAUUUGCACCAAUACUAUUAUUAAUGAUAACAUUAACAAUCUUUUGGCAAAUAGUGAAUCUUGUUUUAAAAAUUUUCUGAUGAUGACUAUCUUCUUCGAUCAUUGUCCAAACAUAGAUGAACAAGACUUGAUUUGAAUUUUGCCAAAAAUUGAUAUCGACAGAAAAGAAAUCUUUCCUACAAAUCUCAGAGGUUUGUAUCGAUGUAAUAGAUGUUCAAUAUGUUCUCGUAGGAUCCGAAAUAAAAAUAUAGAACAUUAGCCUGGCUCUGAUACCAAUUGACGCAGCGGAGAAUUUGUCUUCUUGAAGAUCUGGAGGAUUUGAUAUAGUUUGAUUUGAGAUAAAUAGAAAUCUCAUUCUUGAAUCCACAAAAACGUGAUUUCGGUGAAGAUCCUUCACCCUAAGUCCACAAAAUGAAUGAAUCUCGACCCUUGAGUCCACAAGGGGUUGAUCUUGAAUCCACAAGAUCAGAAGUGGUUCCCUAAACCAACAAGGAGGCUGGAAUCCACCAGCAGAGAAGAUAACUUUUUGAAAAGAAAGGAACUUCGAAUUCUAUUGAUAAAAAUAUGGCCUGCCUCUAGGGCUACAUGAGAGGCCUUUAUAUAGGCCUAAAAGAUAACUAACUUACAAGAAAUUCGAAUCUCUAGAGAUCCUACAAAAUAGGAAAUUGUUAAAACAAACCUAAAAUUCAAGAGGUUCUGUUAAGAAUGUCCUUAACUAACUAUAAUACUAGAAGAAGUUAAAAACAGCCCUAAAGUUAAGGAAGUUUGUUACAAACAUCUUUAACUAUUAAAAUUUAUUUAAAUAACAAAAACGUGAAAUAAAAUAAUGAAUAAUAGAUUUGCACACAUUUAACAUGUGCUAAAUCUAUUAAUCAGCAAAAUAAGUCUUUACGCCUCUUGUUCUUUAAGAUCACUCAAAUUUGGUUGAAACUGGGCUACAUCAGUCUCCCCUUCUUCAAAUAUCUAUUUUUGAUUAUGCUGAAGAAUUUUAUCAUUUAUCUUCUCGAAUUGACAUGACAGAAUCUGAGUCAUAUAUGAUUUCAAGAUUUAAAGGUGGUGUCAAAUGGGAAAUUGAAGAUAAAGUAGCUUUACAAUCAUUUUUCAAGCUCAAUGAUAUUGUAAUGGCUACAGAACGUGAUGAAGCCUUAUUAGAGAAAGGAAAAAGUAGAAUUCAAAAUUUUGUAAAUCAGAAUUCAACUUCUCAACCAGAAAGAGGAAGAUCCAUUGGUUUUUCUUCUACACCUCACAACGGGCGACUGAAUCAAAGUUCUGUUAGAUCAAGUGGAGCAAAUCCUACAACCCAAGUCUCUUCUAACAAAAAUCUUUAUACUCCUAAUGUCAUUCCUAAAUGCUACAAGUGUAGAGAAAAUAGACACAAAUCAAAUAUUUAUCUGAAAUGUGGCACAGUAAACCUUGCAGAUUCUAUUGAAGAGGAACCAGAAAUUGAAGGUGAGCAAGAAGAAAAUUUUAUUGAAUUUGAUACUGGAGAUGCAUUGUCUCAUUCACUUGUGGUGAGAAGAUUGAUGUAUUCACCAAAAAGAUAAGAAGACCCACAGCGCCAUAACAUUUUCAGAACAAGUUGCACAGUGAAUUCUAAGGUAUGUGAUAUAAUUAUUGAUAGUGGCAGUAGUGAAAACAUUGUCUCCUCUGUCAUGGUUAAAAAAUUAGGUUUGCAGACAAGGCCACACCCUCAUUCAUACUGAAUUGGUUGGAUCAAGAAGGAAACAGAAACUAAAGUUUCAGAUACGUGUUUGAUCAAAUUUUCAAUUGGGAAAAUAUAUUCUGAUGAAGUGCAAUGUGAUGUUGUUGAAAUAGAUGUUUGUCACAUGAUAUUAGGUAGACCAUAUUAAUUUCAUGUUGAUGCUACACACCGUGGUAAGGAAAAUAUUUAUAUUUUCUAUAGAAAUGGUAAAAAAUUUAUUUUGGCACCAUUGCAAGGUAGUGAUUUUAGCAAAGGAAAAGAAGAGAGAAAAAAAGNNNNNNNNNNNNNNNNNNNNNNNNNNNNNNNNNNNNNNNNNNNNNNNNNNNNNNNNNNNNNNNNNNNNNNNNNNNNNNNNNNNNNNNNNNNNNNNNNNNNNNNNNNNNNNNNNNNNNNNNNNNNNNNNNNNNNNNNNNNNNNNNNNNNNNNNNNNNNNNNNNNNNNNNNNNNNNNNNNNNNNNNNNNNNNNNNNNNNNNNNNNNNNNNNNNNNNNNNNNNNNNNNNNNNNNNNNNNNNNNNNNNNNNNNNNNNNNNNNNNNNNNNUAAUGCUCAUCAACCAGACAUAGUUUCUUAAAGAGUUUGAUAUUAAUACUGCAUUAUUUGUUGUUGUUCAAAAACUUAAUUCGAACUUGAUAAUCGGAAAUAGGAUACCAAAAGCUGUUGAAAAUCUGUUAUCUGAAUUUUCUAUAAUUCAAGAACUAUCAACUCAUCUGCCACCACUGAGAGAUGUACAACAUCAUAUUGAUCUUAUACCAGGAGCAAAUUUGUCAAAUCUUCCACAUUACAGAAUGACUUUAGAAGAAAAUCAAAUUCUUUAAGAACAAGUGGAAGAAUUAUUGAGUAAAGGAUUGAUAAGAGAAAGUAUGAGCCCAUGCUCUGUGCCUGCUCUACUAGUUCUAAAGAAAGAUGGAAGUUGGCGGAUGUGUGUUGAUAACAGAGCUAUUAACAAGAUAACAGUUAAGUAUAGAUUUCCAAUUCCACACCUAGAUGACAUGUUGGAUAUGCUUUGUGGUUCUAAAAUUUUUUCAAAAGUUGAUUUAAAGAGCGGAUAUCAUCAGAUCCGAAUUCGGCAAGGAGAUGAAUGGAAGACUACAUUUAAAACUAAGGCAGGUCUUUAUGAAUGGUUGGCCAUACCUUUUGGUUUAUCUAAUGCCCCCAGUACCUUUAUGAGAGUGAUGAAUCAGGUUCUGAAACCUUUUAUUAGUAAAUUUAUUGUUAUUUAUUUUGAUGACAUUCUUAUUUACAAUACUACAGAAGAAGAACACAUUAAACAUCUCAGAUCAGUGUUUCAAGUGUUACAACAAAAUGAAUUAUACAUUAACUUGAAAAAAUGUGACUUCAUGACUACUAAUUUAUUAUUCUUGAGAUAUAUUGUAAGUGCAGAUGGAAUCAAAGUGGAUGAAGAAAAGGUCAGAGCUAUUAAAGAUUGGUCAACACCAAUCACAAUUCAUCAGGUUUGAAGCUUUCAUGGGUUGGCAUCAUUUUAUAGAAGGUUCAUAUGAAAUUUUAGCUCAAUAAUGUUUCUAGUUACUGAAUGUAUAAAAAAAGGUAAUUUUAAAUGAACUGAUGAAGCAAGUAAAGCCUUUUUAAUGAUAAAAGAAAAAUUAUAUUCUGUUCCUGUUUUGGCCCUACCAAAUUUUGAUAAACUAUUUGAAGUGGAAUGUGAUGCAUCCAUAGUUGGUGUUGGAGGUGUCUUAUCACAAGAAGGUCGGCCAAUAAUAUGUUUUAGUGAAAAACUUUCUGAGGCAAGAAAGAAAUGGACAACAUAUGAAUUAGAAUUUUAUGUUGUGGUUCGUGCUUUACAAACAUGGGAACACUACUUGAUUCAGCGAGAAUUUAUUUUAUAUACUGAUCAUCAAGCUCUUAAAUCAGUUAAUAGUCAGACUUCCAUUAAUAGAAUACAUGCUAGAUGGAUCUCUUUCCUUCAACAUUUUACUUUUGUUAUUAAACAUAAGUCAGGGAAACUGAAUCGAGUUGCAGAUACGCUUAGUAGAAAAAUAACAUGUUUGGUGAACUUGCGUGCUGAGAUCACAGGAUUUGACUAUCUCAAAGAAUUAUACCCAGAUGAUGAUGAUUUUUCUCAACAAUAUAUGAUUUGUAUGUCAAGAAUAUUAACCAAAGGUUUUGAUUUACAUGAUGGUAUUUUGAGGAACAUAGUUAUGUAUUCCUCAUAGCUCUUUAAGAGAGAAACUUCUACGAGAAUUAUACUCUUCAGGUUUAGCAGGAGACCUUGGUCGAGAUAAGACAUUAUAGUCAAUUAAAGAGCGGUAUUAUUGGCGUAAACUGAAGAAAGAUGUAGAAAAUUUUGUUCGUAAAUGUUAAGUUUGUCAAACCUACAAGGGACAAAGUCAAAAUACUAGACUAUAUACACUAUUGCUGAUUCCACAACGUCCUUGGGCUGAUAUUUCUAUGGAUUUUAUAUUAGGUUUACCAUGAACACAAAGAGGAGCUGACUCAGUUUUCGUUGUUGUUGAUAGAUUUUCGAAAAUGGCACACUUCAUCGCAUGUAAAAAGACAAAUGAUGCAAGUCAAGUAGUCAAUCACUUUUUCAAAGAAAUUGUUUGUCUACAUAGAAUUCCUAAGUCAAUUACAUCUGACAGAGAUUCUAAGUUUGUAUCUCACUUCUGCCGAACUCUUUGAAAAAGGUUUGACACAUUUUUGAAAUUUAGUAACACUAGUCACCUACAAACUGAUGGCCAAAUUGAAGUUGUGAACAGAACUCUUAACAACUUGAUUCGUUGUAUUUCAGGAGAAAAGCCAAAAUAAUAGGAUUAUGCUUUGGCUCAAGCAUAAUUUACUUAUAAUUCGAUGAUUAAAUGUUCAAUGAACAAAUCUCCAUUUUCAGUAGUAUACUAUUUUCCUCCAAGAAUUCCAUUGGAUCUAUUACAAGUACCAAGAUCAGUUGGAACUAGUAUUGCUGCAAAUAAUAUGGUGGACCAUAUCAAAACACUUCAUGAAGGUGUGAUACACAAUCUCACAACAAAUUAUGACAAAUAUAAAGUAGCAGCAGAUAAGAAAAGAAGAAAGAAGAUAUUUGAAGUUGGCGACAAAGUGAUGGUGUACCUUCGCAAAAAAUGAUUUCCAGCAGGUAGCUAUAACAAGUUGAAGCCAAAAAAUAUGGACCAUAUCAAGUUCUACAGAAGAUCAAUGAUAAUGUAUACCUUAUUGAGCUCCCACCAAAUAUGACUAUUUCACCCACAUUUAAUGUCAGUGACAUAUACGAGUAUUAUGAAUAUUCAAAUGAAGACUCGAGGACGAGUUUUCUUGAAGAAGGAGAAACUAAUGUAGCCCAAGACACAAGUUGAAGUCCUAACUUCGAAGUUGGGCCUAAUUACCCUAAAUUUGGGCCAUGAAGUGAAAAGUAGUAAAGAGGGAGCCCACAUAUGUCACUAGUGGGCUGGAGGUCCGAAAAAUAAUACUUACUCUCUACUUUAUGUCCUUUCACUUCUAGAAGGCACUUUAUGUCUCUUUCCUUCUAGAAGGGACUUUAAUAUGGUUCAGUCUAUACCCAAUAUAUGCUUAGGAUAUCAGACUGUCAGAGUCUAUACCUAAGAUUCGCUCAGUAUAUCUACUUGUCAGAGCUUGCUUUAAGUCACUUUAGAGUUAGUCAGAGUAUUUUCAAAGGAUUUGUUCAAGAUCUCAAUCUAUCAUAGUCUAUUUUAAGUCAUUUCAGUGUUAGUCAGAGUCUGUUCUCAAGAUCUGUCAGGAUCCUCCUUUUAUGAGCGCCCCCACCCCCUUUCUAGGCCUAUAUAAAGGCCCCCAUUGUAACCUGAGGGACUUACCUUUGAGUAGAACCAGUUUUCUCCCCUGUGAGAACCUUUCCUUUUUUUGUUUGUGGAUUCAGGCACCCCCUUGUGGACUCAAGGCUUGGAGACUUCGAAUCUGUGGAUUUAGAGGUUGGUUUCUUCUCCAAGAUUAGAGCUUUGUGGAUUCAAGCCCAAAUCUUAUUUAUCUUCCGCCUCACUGCUGCGUCAAUUACCACAUUAGCAAGUUCAUUCAUAUCCUCCUUAUAUCUCUAAAUCAAAGUCCUAGAGUAUUAGCACCUAUCACUAUUAGGUACCCCUUUCAGUCAGGGCUAAUAACACAAGAAAACAUUCUUAUAUAACCAGAACAGUCUGGGAAGAACCAAGAUUCCAGAUUUGAUAUGGGACGAUAUAGCCUUUCCUUAUUCAUUCCCAUCCAAUCAAAAAGUUUUUCCUUUUAUUGGAUGGUUUUGUUUUUUGAUGAAUCAUAAGAGGAUAAAUUAUUUCCGAUAUUCUAAACGAAAGGAAGGAGGAUCAAGGUGGGAACCAUAGUUGUUUCGUUUGAAGCACAGCAUCAAAGAUAUAUAGAUAUAUACAUGGUAACAGUUAUCUUGGACAGUGUUCCAGAGAAAGUGGCCUACUUGAAAGAAAGGGCGGGCACUCUUGUGUGUCAACCCCACACAAUUGUCAAAGUCACGUCAGUGUUUUCCCAGUGUGCGGAGUCCCAAGGUCUUAGUGCUUUCUCAUGGUAAUGCUAAUCCCUCUUUUUGUGUGUGCUACUCCUAUGGGAAGAAGGGAUCUGAUGCUACACCACUGCUCACUACCUUAGUGGAUCAACUCUAUUACAUAAGUUGAUUCCUAAUUUUUAUCUCAUCUCAUGAAAUAAAUAAGCUGUUCUUAUUGUAUUAAUUGAUAACCUUGCUAAUGGUUCUUUACGGUGCUUCUUCUAUCAAUUUGAUCCUUUAUUUACACAUAAUUAAUACCCUAAUAGAGAUAGAUCACGUGUAAACUGGGAUUGGAGUCUAAUGGUUUUAGAUAGAAUAGGUCUAAUAUAUAAGGAGAAGAAAUUGAGUAAGUGAAGUAGGAUGCCUGUUCUGGUUAUAUAAGAGUGUUUUCUAGUGUUUUCAGCCCUGAUUUAAAGGGGUACCUAAUAGUGUUAGGUGCUAAUACUCUAGGACUCUGAUUUAGAGUUAUAACGUGGAUAUGAAUGAACUUGUUAACGUGGUAAUAUAUGGAAUCAACAAACCUUCAAGGGAUUGAAGGUUAGAAAUCAAGGUAGAUAGCUUUUGAAAACCAGCUUAGAAGAGAAUCAUGGCUUAUUACUACAUGAAUCACACUAUUGAUAGAAUCAAGAGAGUUAGGUAUAAGAGGGGUUUUCUGGUUAGAUUUUUCUCAAAGAAUUUUACAAUUCAAGAGUAUGAUAUGAUAGUACAAUCUUUUUGGAAUAAAGUGUAUGAAGAUUUAAGAAACAAGGUAUUAGAUGGAUAGAAGGAUUAUAAGGUGUAUAAUAGAGUGUUUAAGAUAUUACAGGACUUUAAGGAGUUUCAUUCUCUAAAUAAUAUUAAGGAAGAUGAUUUAUUUGAGUUACAGACAACUAUUGAAGCUUUAAGUAUAUCAUUUGACAAAGAUAAUAUACAUGGACAUACACCUGAAUUAAUAAACAUAUUAAUUAACAAAGAGGAAUGUACAGCUAAAGAUUACUUAAGGAUGCAUAUAUCGAAGGAUGUUUAUUAUAACAUUAUUCAUGCUUUUGGUCAUUAUACAUUGGAAGCUAUUAUCAUAUAUAUACUAGGGUUCUUAUAUAAUAGUAACAAAGAUACUUCUAUGAUUAGACUAUCUACAUUGAUAGAUAGGUUAGAGAGUUUCGUAAUAACACAGUCUGAUUUACUAAAGAUCAAAUUAUCAGUAAGCUCUAAUAGUAAAGUAGAAAAAAAGACACUCAAAAGUAGUACAUAUCAAGUAGGUGUUAAUUUGAUUUAAUUUAUGUUGGAAAGAAAACUGAUCUAGAUUUAUACAUUAAAAGAGGGAUCACUUGUUAUUAUGAACACUGGUGAGGGUUAUCCCAAACCUAAGUCAUAUGUUGUUUGUAGUUUGGGUUUCAAUAUUCUACCAUUCAUUGUAAAUUUACCCAUGAUAUAUCCACCUAUUUAUUGAAAAAGAAACAUGAGUAACUGAUAAAGCUCAAUUUAUCACUAAAUAUUAGCUAAUAAUUUCUAUGAAAAGUACUUCAAGGCACCAUAAUAUUCAUGAAUUGGUAGCUUUACAUGUUCAUGAGCUUCAUUCCUAAAAUCCACUGAGUUUGCCUUUAAAUUUUACUUCUUAGUUACAUCAAAUAUGGAGAAUUAUUUCUAAAAAAAUUUUUAAGCUUUUUCAAAGGAUUAUUACUUGAGAAGUUGAAAAAUUGUCUUAGGAAUAAUCCCACAAAAUUUUACGAUUUUAUCGCUUUAGAGUGAUUUAACAUGGAAUUUACACUAAGGAGAAUACAGAAUGUAAGGAAGUCAACACUUAAAGAAGUCAACAGUCGAGAUGUCAUAAUUCCUAGUCAAAGAAUGACUUCAAGUCAAAGAGUGGAAGAAGGAGGACCAUGUUCAAGGUUCAACACACCCCAGUGGAGGAAGAAGAAAGUUAAUUAGGAUUUUCCUCUCCCUUUAUUGAAUUCUGGUCUUUCUCCUUCUCAUUCUAUUUCUUCUUCUCAUUCUCGUUCUCUUCCUCUUUCUCUUUUUGUCAAAUUCUGUGGAGUUGAGUGAGGCUAUAAAUACCUUCUCAUGACCACAAAAUUGGGGGCGCCCCUCCGCUGUCUUUUGAGGGUUCUUUUCCCGAAAUUAGAGGGAGUGAAAUCCCAAUCGUUCUUCCAACAUAUUCUUCCAUUCCUUUCUGUGGCAUUGUUACAAGUUCUUCCAGUUCCUACAAUUUCCAAUGAAUUCGAGGUAAGAGUACACCCUUUCCUAGGUUAGAUCUCGAUCUCUACUAAUCCAGACAGUGACAUCUUGGAUUAGAAGAGAGAUCUAGGUUAGGUUUACUUCAGAAAUUACAAUCUCGAAAUCUCCUUUUAUGAGUUUCAUCAAUUCCGGUUCAUGUUCUUCCAUGUUCUUCAAUUUUCAGUUUAAGUCAAUUAGAUUCAAUAAAUAUAGAAUGACCUCAAGAUGAUUUCAAACUCAGUAUAUAAAUACUUCGUCUCUAUUAACCUCAAAAUAAUUUCUAAUCGAAAUUAAUCAACUCUCAACCUUCUUCCACAAAUUCCUCUUCUUCCCUUCCCAUUUUUCCGUAAAUGAAUAUUUCUCUCAUUUUCUCAAUGAACUUUGCGAAUCUCUGAUUUUCUGUUAUUUCAUAUGCAUGUCUUUUUAGAUUUAGAAUCAUUCUAACUUCAUUUCAUUCUCUAUUAGAUUCAGUUUGAAUUCAUUUAACUCGUUUCAUAUAUGAACACUCUAUUUUAGAUUCAAUGUUUUGCAUCAUGAAGUAAUUUAUUGCAUUAAUUCUUUUCAUAAAAUGUUCUAAAUAGAUAUAGGAACAAUCACUACAUACUUGAGAUCAAUUUUUACUCUUAGAAACUUGCAUUUUGAUUUUUUUCGACAACAAUACUGAGAGAAUCAAGCACUGUAUGUUUUGGUGAACCACUAUGUUCCUUCAUCUCAACUCUCAUAAAAAAAUAUUCAUAAAAAAGUUCAAAGUAAUUACCUCUUAAUUCCCUGAGGAUCGACUUGAACUCCCUAAUAUAUUAAAUUUAGUAAUUCAUAUUUGGAAGUCAGUUUAUAAAUUUUAUUUGACUAACCACUAAUCCUAAUGACAAUUUUUGGUUAUCUGUAACUUGAUAUUUGAUAUUUAGGGAGGGUAUUUAAGCAAUAUUACUGCUGAUAUAUAUAAUAGAUUCAAUAUAAUCACAUCACACAAUAUUUUUAAUUUGAAUAUCAUGUUGAAUGGUGUAUAUUCAAAUGAUUUAUUACGUAUAUUGAAUGGCUUAUAAAGAACUAGAUUUAGAAUAAAUAGUACUCAAUUGAGUUAUAUUAAGGAUAAUAGGGAUACUAGAAAAAGCUAAGCUUAUUGAACCUAAUUUUUUAAUACAUUUUAAAUUAAAUGAAGCUUUUGAUCAUAUUAGGUUGAUGUAUAUAAAUGAUACUACGGUAUUAAACAUAUCCUUUCACUUAAUGAUAUCCCAUUAGAAAUGGCUAAACAAGUACAAUCCGCUAGGCAUGAUGAUCUCAUUAUUAAUCUAGCAUCUGCAUAUGAAGGAUAUGUAUUUUAUUUACCCACUUUUAUAGACUUUCGUGGCAGGAUCUAUAGAUCAGGGAUCUUACACUUUCAUGAAAUAGAUCUAGCAAGAUCUUUAAUCAUUUUUGAUAAUACAUACAUGUCUCCUAACGCUUAUAUGAAUGCAUUAUAAAUGAGAGAGAAAAUAGCGAUAGGUGCUGCUUUUAAGUAUAAAAAGUGUAUUUCUACACAAGAGGCUAUCAUGAGUUUUUCUGCAUAUCUAAGUGAACGCAAACAAAAUCAUUUAAUAGAUGUUGCUAUUAAAAAAAGUAAUUCAUUUCAAUUUAUAUCCAAAAUGUUAUGUUAUAAAAGAGAUGAUAAUUAUAAGAAUGAACCUAUGAAUCAAGAUGCUAGUGCUAGCACAUAUCAAAUUAUGAGUUAUCUAUUACUUAAUGAAGAAAUGGGUAAACUUAAUAAUAUAAUUACUAAAAAGGGGGAUAGGAUUGGAGACGUAUAUUAUACUUUAUUGGAUAAUUUCAAAGAGUAUAUUCAAACAAAGUAGAUAAAAUUAAACUUAGUCUCAUUAUAACACUAUUACAUAGAAAACUAAUAAAAUCACUGUUUAUGCCUUUGAUAUAUGGGAAGACACUUAUUAGUAUGAAAGCUGAUAUUAAAUCUAAAUACGGUUCUUUACUAAAUGUGAAGGAUUCUCAUUUACUUGCUAUCAGCUAUUUUAUACAUUUUGGGAAGAGAACUUUAUUGAUACUAUUAACUUUAUGAAACUAAUUAACCAUAUAAGUUGGUUAUGCUCAUCUAUUGAUAGACCUCUUUGAUAUAGUAUCUCAUAUUAUACUACCAUUCAGGAUUAUAUGUCAAGUAUUAAAGAGAAAAUUUAUGUAUAUGAUCAUAUUACUAAAGAGAGGCAUAGAGUAACCCUAACAGUACCUACUACAAAUAGGGAUAAGAGAAAGAGUAAAAUAUCAUCUUUUGCUAACUUCAUUCAUCAAAAAGAUGCGUUUAUAGCCUUAAAUGUUAUAGAUGAGUUAUUAAGAAUAGGUGUUCCUAUAUAUACAGUUCAUCACAACUUCAUCACCACUGUCCCAUAUGUUAAGAUGUUAACCCAUAUAUAUUUGAAUGUAUUAAAGAAAAUGGGUCAUCCUAUCUUCAUUAUUAAUUCCUUUAUUAACCUAAAUCUAAUAAAACCUUCUAUCCUAAUUAUUUUAACUCUAAAGAGUCUGAAGUACAUCAUAAUAUACAAGAUCUGAAGGAGGAUCCUAAUAUAUAUUUUAAUAUGAAACUUAAUGAGUGGUGGCGGACAGGACCCCUCGCCACCACAGCACGAGGCCGAGGCAAUGAAGGAGACCCCACCCCCAUGCUGUCAACCGGAUCGUAGAGACUGAGCAAGGACAAGGAACCUCGGGUUCUGCUACACCGCAUGAGGGGCUUCCCACCCCUUGGGCCCACGUCGAGUCCAUGGUAGGAAGGGACAGCCCACUCCAUUUUGGCCCUCGCCCAUCCUACUACCUCCUCCUUUGGGCCAUAUGUGUGGGCCCAAUUGGAGGAGCUGGUGUCCUUAUUCUCCUCACCCCCUUCUUGUUGGGUCACCCUCGUUUAGGCCCAAUAGAGAGGAAGGCCCAUGACGUGAAUUAAUCGUUGUGUAAUAAAUCACGCAAAUUUAAAAUUUUUAUAAAACUAGAAGGGACCNNNNNNNNNNNNNNNNNNNNNNNNNNNNNNNNNNNNNNNNNNNNNNNNNNNNNNNNNNNNNNNNNNNNNNNNNNNNNNNNNNNNNNNNNNNNNNNNNNNNNNNNNNNNNNNNNNNNNNNNNNNNNNNNNNNNNNNNNNNNNNNNNNNNNNNNNNNNNNNNNNNNNNNNNNNNNNNNNNNNNNNNNNNNNNNNNNNNNNNNNNNNNNNNNNNNNNNNNNNNNNNNNNNNNNNNNNNNNNNNNNNNNNNNNNNNNNNNNNNNNNNNNNNNNNNNNNNNNNNNNNNNNNNNNNNNNNNNNNNNNNNNNNNNNNNNNNNNNNNNNNNNNNNNNNNNNNNNNNNNNNNNNNNNNNNNNNNNNNNNNNNNNNNNNNNNNNNNNNNNNNNNNNNNNNNNNNNNNNNNNNNNNNNNNNNNNNNNNNNNNNNNNNNNNNNNNNNNNNNNNNNNNNNNNNNNNNNNNNNNNNNNNNNNNNNNNNNNNNNNNNNNNNNNNNNNNNNNNNNNNNNNNNNNNNNNNNNNNNNNNNNNNNNNNNNNNNNNNNNNNNNNNNNNNNNNNNNNNNNNNNNNNNNNNNNNNNNNNNNNNNNNNNNNNNNNNNNNNNNNNNNNNNNNNNNNNNNNNNNNNNNNNNNNNNNNNNNNNNNNNNNNNNNNNNNNNNNNNNNNNNNNNNNNNNNNNNNNNNNNNNNNNNNNNNNNNNNNNNNNNNNNNNNNNNNNNNNNNNNNNNNNNNNNNNNNNNNNNNNNNNNNNNNNNNNNNNNNNNNNNNNNNNNNNNNNNNNNNNNNNNNNNNNNNNNNNNNNNNNNNNNNNNNNNNNNNNNNNNNNNNNNNNNNNNNNNNNNNNNNNNNNNNNNNNNNNNNNNNNNNNNNNNNNNNNNNNNNNNNNNNNNNNNNNNNNNNNNNNNNNNNNNNNNNNNNNNNNNNNNNNNNNNNNNNNNNNNNNNNNNNNNNNNNNNNNNNNNNNNNNNNNNNNNNNNNNNNNNNNNNNNNNNNNNNNNNNNNNNNNNNNNNNNNNNNNNNNNNNNNNNNNNNNNNNNNNNNNNNNNNNNNNNNNNNNNNNNNNNNNNNNNNNNNNNNNNNNNNNNNNNNNNNNNNNNNNNNNNNNNNNNNNNNNNNNNNNNNNNNNNNNNNNNNNNNNNNNNNNNNNNNNNNNNNNNNNNNNNNNNNNNNNNNNNNNNNNNNNNNNNNNNNNNNNNNNNNNNNNNNNNNNNNNNNNNNNNNNNNNNNNNNNNNNNNNNNNNNNNNNNNNNNNNNNNNNNNNNNNNNNNNNNNNNNNNNNNNNNNNNNNNNNNNNNNNNNNNNNNNNNNNNNNNNNNNNNNNNNNNNNNNNNNNNNNNNNNNNNNNNNNNNNNNNNNNNNNNNNNNNNNNNNNNNNNNNNNNNNNNNNNNNNNNNNNNNNNNNNNNNNNNNNNNNNNNNNNNNNNNNNNNNNNNNNNNNNNNNNNNNNNNNNNNNNNNNNNNNNNNNNNNNNNNNNNNNNNNNNNNNNNNNNNNNNNNNNNNNNNNNNNNNNNNNNNNNNNNNNNNNNNNNNNNNNNNNNNNNNNNNNNNNNNNNNNNNNNNNNNNNNNNNNNNNNNNNNNNNNNNNNNNNNNNNNNNNNNNNNNNNNNNNNNNNNNNNNNNNNNNNNNNNNNNNNNNNNNNNNNNNNNNNNNNNNNNNNNNNNNNNNNNNNNNNNNNNNNNNNNNNNNNNNNNNNNNNNNNNNNNNNNNNNNNNNNNNNNNNNNNNNNNNNNNNNNNNNNNNNNNNNNNNNNNNNNNNNNNNNNNNNNNNNNNNNNNNNNNNNNNNNNNNNNNNNNNNNNNNNNNNNNNNNNNNNNNNNNNNNNNNNNNNNNNNNNNNNNNNNNNNNNNNNNNNNNNNNNAGACUUAUCACACCCCCCAACUUAAAUCAUUGCUAGUCCCUUAGUAAUGGAAUUAAAAAUAUAAUUAUCAUUCAAAAAUUUCAGACAUCAUAUUUCAAUGCACAAAAUACAAUUAGAAAUGAUGAACCUCUAGAUAUUUUGGACUAUUUUAUCAAGUAUUAAAGAAAGAUAUCAAGCUUUUAAAUGUCUAAACACUCCUUUGAAUAAUAAUAUAAAUUUCACUUCUUCAAUCUACAUCUUUGUCACUUCUUUACUCAUGGAUAUAAUUCACAAGAUGGUCCAAUUAUCAAAAAUCAUCCAUGCAUAAUAUUGAUCCUACCUUUCCCUUCCCUAUGGCUUGAUUUUUGAAGUUUGCACUAUAUUUCUUCUUCCUCUUUUUUUUUUUUUUUUUUUCGUGGUGAAUAAGCAGCUUUUCUUGUAAACAAAUUUCUACAAUGAGAAUGAUGUCUCACACCCUCCAUGUGUACUCUUCAUUUCCAGGGCUUUCACAUUAUCCACUUAUUUUGCAGCAAGUGUUUCUCAUUUUUCAAUUUUUUUUUUUUUUUUUUUCACAUUGCUCAUUUUUUUUCUAUUUUUCGAAAUAAGUGAUUUCUCUUCACAAGUCCUAUAGAUCAGGGUGUAAAAAUCUCUAUUAAACUCAAAUGAUCAAUCAAAUUUUCUCAUCAAGUAAAUUCUAUCCAUCAAGAUCAUGAAGUGAAAAAUCUGUAAAAUCAAAUCCAUGUUAUCUAUAAUGUAUCCAAGGAGUAUUCCAACAUUUCAAGCUAUUCAAUCAUUCUCUUAACUCAAUAAUAAUCAUCCUAAUAUCCUUUGGUAUCAAUCAAUCUAAUUGACUUAAUUUUUCUGUGCACAUAAUAUGAUGUAAAAAUUAGAUCUGAAAAUUAUGCCUCUGUUUUAGUUCUGUCAGUUCUAUUUUUAACAACAAUCUAUUUGUAAAAAUAAUAAAUCAAAAUUAUCAUUUUCAUAACAAUAAUUCUGAAUUUCAACAAUAUAUGCCUAGGGGUUUGAAAUGUGAGAAAAGGGUCUCUAAAAUUUCAAGUUUCGUACUAUUUUUAUAAUUUUUUUUUGCUGGUUUUUGACAGUCUGCACUCUGCACUGUUUUCUGUUAUUUUUGACAGAACUAGGAAAUCAACACUAUAUUUUUCAAAAAAUUGCUCAUAUAGAUGAUGAAAAAUUGCCAAAACAUGUUCUUGUUCAUUCUACAGCAUUAAGACUUAAUAUCUUCAUCACCUUACCCCCCAACUUAAAUUUGACAUUGUCCCCAAUGACACAAAUUACAGAAAAUGUAAUUUUCAAUCAAGUAUGCAUAUAAAUAAAAUUAAGCACGAAAAAUACUAUAAUAAAGGAUCAAGUUCAGGAACAUAUAACCUCAGGCUUACUUUUAAUUUUCCACUUCGUCUACACUCCUCCUCCUGCACUUUUAUUCUUUUUUUUUUUUUCUUGAAAGAAGAAAACAAUACAGAAAACUAGAUGCUGCGAAAUUCAACAAAAGUAAAGCAUUAAUUUUAAACAGAACCAUGGGUUGCCUCCCAUGCAGCGCUGAGUUUAAUGUCUCCAGCUAGACACAUUAAUCUCAUUCUCGAAUUUCUUUUAAUAAUAAAAUCUAUUUUUCUGCAGGGCAUUCAUGUUCUAUGUAAGGUUUAAGCCUCUAUCCAUUUACCUUAAAACUAUGAUCAUUUUUAAUAUCUCUAAUCAUUACAACUCCAUGAUCAUAUAUUUCUUCCACCACAUAAGGUCCUGUCCAUUUUGAUUUCAAUUUUCCUGGAAAUAGUUUCAAUCUAGAAUCAUAUAACCAUACUUUUUGUCCAACUUCAAAAAUUUUUCUGCUGAUGUACCUAUCAUGAAAGAUUUUAGUUUUUUCCUUAUAAAUUCUAUGAUUUUCGUAAGCUUCAUUCCUUAACUCCUCUAAUUCAUGUAGCUGAAAAAUUCUAUGCUCACCAGCUGAUUUUUCAUCUAUACAUAAUUUUUUUAUAGCCCAUAAUGCUUUAUGUUCUAUUUCCACAGGAAGAUGACAUGGUUUCCCAAAAAUGAGACGAAAUGGAGACAUACCUAUGGGAUUUUUAUAAGCUGUUCUAUAUGCCCAUAAUGCAUCUUAUAAUUUCGUGGGCCAAUCCUUCCUAUUUGGUCUCACUAUUUUUCUCAAAAUUCUCUAAAUUUCUCUAUUUGCUACUUCAGCUUGCCCAUUUGUUUGAGGAUGAUAUGGAGUGGCUACUCUAUGGUGUACUCCAUUUUUUUUCAAUAGUUCUUUAAAAUGUCUAUUUGUAAAAUGUGUUCCUCCAUCACUAAUGAUCACUCUAAGACAUCCAAAUCUUGAAAAAAUAUUUUUCUGUACAAAUUUCAUCACGAUUUUAUGAUCAUUAGUUCUAGUAGGAAUAGCUUCCACCCAUUUAAACACAUAAUCAACAACAAGCAAGAUAUAUUCAUAUUUUUCAGUGGAUGGAAAUGGCCCCAUGAAAUCUAUACCCCAUACAUCAAAAAUUUCAACAACUAACAUACUACUCAUAGGCAUUUCAUUUCUUUUAUUUAAGUUACCUAUAGAUUGGCAUGAAAUUCAUGUUUUACUAAAUUUAAUAGCAUCUCUAACUAUUGUAGGCCAAUAAAAACCACAUUGAAAAAUUUUUGCAGUUAUUUUUCUGCUAGAAAAAUGUCCUCCACAGUUAGAUGAAUGGCACAUUUUAAGAAUGCUAUGAUAUUCUUCUUCAGGAACACAUCUCCUAAGAAUUUGAUCAUUACCCAAGUAAUAUAAAUCAGGAUCAUGCCAAAAAUAAUUUCUAAUCUUAGCAAAGAAAUGAUUUUUUCUAUUCUUUUCCCACUAUUCUAGAAUUUUUUCAGAAACUAGAAAAUUAACAAUAUAUGCAUACCAUGGUGAUGGUUGAUGUUGAGCUCUCAUCAAUUGCUCAUCUGGAAAUACAUCUUGUAAAGGUGCUGCAUUUGUUCCUAUAUCACUCAAUCUAGAAAGAUGGUCAGCAACAACAUUUUUGAAACCUUUUUUAUCUUUUAUUUCCAAAUCAAAUUCCUGCAACAAUAAUAUCCAUCUUAAUAAAUGUGGCUUUGCAUCUUUCUUAUUAAGCAAAUAUUUUAAUGCUGAAUGAUCAGUAUAAAUGAUGAUUUUAGCUCCUAAAAUAUAUGAUCUAAAUCUUUCUAAUGAAAAUACUACAGCUAACAACUCUUUUUUAGUUGUGGUAUAAUUUAAUUGAGCAUCAGAAAUAGUUUUGCUAGCAUAUGAAAUAACUAUGGGUUUUGACUCUUUUCUUUGUCCUAAAACAGCUCCUACUGCAUAAUUUGAUACAUCACACAUUAUUUCAAAUGGAAGAGACCAAUCAGGAGCUUGUAAAAUAGGUGCCUCAGUAAGUAAUCAUUUUAUUUCAGAAAAAGAUUCAAAACAUUUCUCAUCAAAAUUAAAAGGCACAUCUUUAGAUAAUAACAUGGUGAGAGGUUUAGAAAUUUUUGAAAAAUCUUGAAUAAAUUUUCUAUAAUAACCUGCAUGUCCCAAGAAAGAUCUAAUCUGUUUUACUGAAUUUGGGGGUUACAUUUUAGAUAUUAUAUCAAUUUUCACUUUAUCUACCUCCAAACCUCUUUCACUCACAAUAUGUCACAACACAACUCCUUCUCUAACCAUAAAAUGUGAUUUCUCCCAACUCAAAACUAAUUUUUUUUCUAUACAUUUCUUCAGCACAUGGUGUAAAUGGUUCAGGCAUUCAUGAAAUGAUUCACCAAAAGCCAAAAAAUCGUCCAUAAAAAUUGCCAUACAUUUUCCAGUCAUAUUAGAAAAAAUAGACAGCAUACAUCUUUGAAAUGUAGCUGGAGCAUUACAUAAUCCAAAGGGCAUGCGUUUAAAAGCAAAAGUACCAAAUGGACAAGUAAAAGUCAUUUUUUCUUGAUCUGAAGGAUUUAUAUAAAUUUGAUUAUAACCAGAAUAUCAAUCUAGAAAACAAAAGAAUCUUUUUCCAACUAGUUUUUCAAGAAUUUGAUCAAUAAAUGGUAGAGGAAAAUGAUCUUUUCUAGUUACUGAAUUUAAUUUUCUAUAAUCAAUACAAACCCUCCAACUAGUGGUUAAUCUUGUUUGUAUUUCCUCCCCAAUAUCAUUUUUUAUAAUCGUGAUUCCUGAUUUCUUUGGUACCACCUAUGUAAGACUAACCCAUUUACUAUCUGAAAUAGGAUAAAUAAUAUCAGCAGCCAACCAUUUUAAAAUUUCCUUUUUUACCACUUCCAUCAUGUUAGGAUUUAAUCUUCUUUGUGGUUCUCUACUUGGUUUAGCUCCUUCCUCUAAAUAUAUAUUAUGCAUGCACACAUUCAUAUCAAUGCCUCUAAGAUCAUCCAUUUUCUAGCCAAUAGCUUUCUUAUUUUUUCGAAUUACUUAUAUUAAUUCUUCCUCUUGCUCAUUAUUCAAAUCAGCUGCAAUAAUGACAGGGAAUGAGUUAUUUUCCUCCAAAAAUGCAUAUUUUAAAUUAGAGGGAAGAGGUUUUAGCUCUAAAUUCGUGUGAUCUUCUUCCUUCUUCUCCCCUAAAUUGAUGUUUUUGAUUUCUUUUAAUUCUUCCAUCACACAAUUAUCAAUAAUAUUUGGACCAUCAUAAUCAUCUAAAAAUUCUAUGGUAUGACAAUCAUACACUUGAGAUUUCUUAAGAUCAUUUGAUACCUCAAAGAUUUUAAUUGCUACUGAUUGAUCUCCACAUGAAAUUUUUGCAAUACCUGUGGGGAAAUCAAUAUUCAUCUUUGCUGUAUGCAAGAAUGGUCUCCCUAAGAUGAUUGGGGUGUAAUAAAACUGUCCAUUAAAAUCUAUUUCCAACACUACAAAAUCAGCUAGAAAUUUACAUCUUUUCACUAUUACUAUCACAUUUUCGAAAAUUCCUUUAAGAUUUUUAAUUGAUCUAUCAGCAAAUUGUAAUGUGACAGUAGAUGGUUUAAGGUCAGAAAUAUUAAAUUUAUCACAAAUACUUGCAGGCAAUAAAUUAAUACUAGCACCAGUAUCAAGUAAUGUAUUUUGAAAAAUAAAUCCACCAAUAUCACACGAAAUUAAAGGAGCACCAAUAUCUUUUGAUUUAUAUGGAACUUGAUUUAAUAAUAAAGCACUAGCAUACAUAGAUAAUUUUUCUACUCUAGGUGUUUUUUUUGGUGUACACAUUUCUUUUAAAACUCUAGCAUAUUCAGGAAUAUAUUCAAUUGCAGUAAGUAAAGGAAGACUAAUUUGCACAUCUUGUAAAAUUUUCUUUAUUUCUUCAUUAUGUUCCUUUUUCUUUCUUUGUCUAGGUUCUAGAGCUUUAGGAAAUAGAAUUUUCGUUCUUUCUUUCAGAUUUUCAUUAGUAGAAUCUAAAAGUUCUUCAUUUUCUUCUUCUUGAUUUUGUUUUGGACUGUCCACCUUUUCUUCUUCUACUACUGUUUAGAGAUAAGGAUUAGGUAAAAUUUUUCCACUCCUUAAUGCAUUUACUGUCCUAACAUUAUCAUUUCGUGGGUUUUUUCCUAGGUUCAUGCUACUAGACUCUCCUUGCUGAAAUCCAAUAGUUGGACAUUUUCCUAAAUUUUCUAUGGUUUGACUAGGUAGUUGUCCCUCUUCUCUCCUAUUCUCAAGAGCCUCUAUAAUUUGUUUUUGUUGCAACAUCAUUUGAUUCAUAGUUUACUACAUCAUUUGGCUCAUUUGUUGCAUCAUUUUUAUGGCAUCAGGUUGAGUAUGAGAGGGCUGAAUUUUCUAAAAUCUAUUUUCUUGUUUUGGACGAAAUUCAGAAUUUAAAUUGGGUCUAAGUGCUUUUGGAUUUUGAAUAUUGUUUGGGUCUCUCCAUGAAAAGUUAUUCCUCAUAUUAUGAUUAUAAGAAUUAAGAAAAGACUCCCUAUUUCUAUUAAAACCGUGGGUUACUUGUACUUGUUCUUACAUAGGCUGAAAUGAUUGAUCUAAAUUAUAACAUUGAAAUUCGGAAUGCUCAUUUUUAUCAUGCAUAGGAUAUGAAUUAUUUGAACUAAAUAGAGGAUUAGGAAGCUUCUGAAAAUUCUCAAUAAAUACAUCAAGCUUAUCUAACUUUUUAUUAAUUCGAUUAACCUCAUUUCUUAUAUUAGAUUCAUCUUGAUGAUGAAAUUCAUACAUUCCUCUCCUCUUAUCCCUAUCAUAUAACUCAAAAAAGGCUUGAUCUCUCGAAUUUUCACUUAAAUUUUCAUAAAGGCUAUAAAUCUCAUCAGGAGUCUUUUCCAUAAAUGUUCCUCCACAUAUAGAAUCAAUCAUAUUCUUAUGUUGUUCUAGUAAUCCAUCAUCAAAAAUUCUAUUGAGCUGCCACUUAAGUAUAGUAUGAUGAAAACAUUUUCUAAGUAAAUCUUUGAAUUUUUCCCAUGUUUCAUGCAAAGUUUCUCCUGUAGCCGUGGAUAUUUGAACCAUGGAUAAUCUGGGUGCUUUCCAAUAGUCUAUAUUGUCAACACUUUGAUAGUGUUGUAUGUUACUAUAUAGCUAUCCUCGGUUAACAUAUUACCAGAAACAAAAUGAUCCUUUUUCAUUAAUUCAUUAUAUCUAUUCUUAUCACAUAUUUCACUUACAGUACUAUUAGGAUUGAUCCUGAAUCUUCCAUAUAAUGAAUUCAUUAAUAUUUUAUAUAUAAAAGACAUAACAGUAUCCCCACUCAUCCUAGCAUUAGAUCUACUUUGGUAUAAGUCAGUCAUAAUUUUAUCGAAAGGACUACCCUCACUCCUUCCAAAUAAAUAACCUUUUAGAGGUUUAAUAAAAUAACCCAAAUAUCUAGCAUAUUUUAAUUCCUUGCUAUAAUACACACCUUUAAACUUGCCCAUCGGAAAUAUUAAAGUGUUAUUAGUAUCCCUAUAUGGCAAGAAAGGUGUUUUCAUAUCCUCAAGUGUGACUAUAUAAGCUUCAAUAAAGCUGCACAAGUUAUCUAAAUUAGUAUCUUCAAAUUAUUUACCCACAGGGGUUCCCCACAAGGCAUAGUAUAAUUUUUGAUAAUAUAAGGAUAUAGAGAAUUAACUUCAUAAUCGUACAAAUUUCCCCCAUAGGUAUAUAAAUAUCAGUAUAUCCUCCGUAAUAUCCACUCCUAAUGAAUCAAUCCUCAUUCAUAUUAGGAAUAUAUAUAGGAUACUUUUUAUCAUCAUACUAAUGCAUCCUGAAGAUCUUCAUAGAUAGAGAAGAUAAAGUUAAAAUACUCUCUAUGUCUACAUUAUAUUUAUUCCAAUAUAUUUAAUGAGCUUUUAGCAUGAUUCCACCUAACAAAUGAAUAUCUUGUAUAAUAUAUUCGAUUAAUUUCUCCUUCAUAUCAAUAAGAUUUGAUAUAUUAACUUCAUCAUGUGGGACGGAACCUUUUAUACCCAAUUGAGGACAUAAAGCCUUAGCUAAUGAAGCAAAGCUUCUAGGUAUAUGAAUCUCUCAAAUGAUAAAGAAACUUAUUAUUUUUAUACACAUUAAUCUCAUAAAUCUGAUGAUUCCUUAUUAAAGGUCUUAUCUUAUACCUAUCCAAUCUUUUGGCAUAAUACUUGAAAAAGAAUAUACCAUCAAAUCGUCCAAAAUUAUGGAAAUAAACAGUUCUUAAACCUUUAGUACUACCUACUACAUCUUCUAUGGAAUUUAGAAACUCUAAUAUGUUUCUAUCACUUCUCUCUUUAGAUUCAGGUAUAAACUUCAUAUGAGAUUCAGUAAAACGAAUAUGAAAAUCAUAAUUGGAUUUAGAUUCAAGAUCUUCCCCAGGGUGAACCACUAAGUAUCCUAGGGCACAGGGUACAUGAGUAUGAUCUAACAUUAAAGUUUCCACAUCAGCCACUAUGAAUGAUUUCAUGUUCUAAAGGUCUUAUAAAUUUUUCAUAGGUUCUCUUUUUAUUGAUGAUAGUUUUAUAAGAAGGCUCUUCCCCACUAGAACACUCUAAUUCCAUAUCCUUCAUAAGACUCUCAAAAAUAUUCCUAUAACUCUCUAAAUUCCAAUUAAUAUCCUUAGUAGUGUAUAUAAUAUACUCUAAGAAAUAGACCUAAAAUAACUCCAUUACAUUUCUCCAUAACCCUAGUGAUAACUUUUACAACCUCAUUAAAUAUAUCUCAUUUAGGCCUUCUAUAGACUUUAACAUUAUGUAAUGGAAUAACAUCUGUGAUGGUAAACGAUAUAUUUCCAUGUUCACAUUUCAUAUCAAAACCUAUAGUAAGCUUAAUAUACUCAGAUUGAGUACAAUACGCAUACUUCAUUAAUAACAUCAUAACAACCAAUACAAAAAGGUUUAUAGAAGUAAUUCCAGGAGCUUUUACUUCUUCUUCCUCAGAGCCCUUAAACUUAAUUCUAGCUAUAACUAACCCUCCGUGCACAACAUAAUAAUCUUCACUUACAGAAUAAGAUAAUAAUAGAUUAAAUAUGUAUUCCAUACUAUCGUAAGAAAAAUUCUUUGAGAAAAAUCUAACCAGAAACCUCCUCUUAUACCUAACUCUUUUGAUUCUAUCGAUAGUGUGCUUCAUGUAGUAAUAAUCCAUGAUUCUCUUCUAAGCUGAUUUUCAAAAGCUAUCUACCUUGAUUUCUAACCUUCAAUCCCUUGAAGGUUUGUUGAUUCCAUGUAUUACCACGUUAGCAAGUUCAUUCAUAUCCUCCUUAUAACUCUCAAUUAGAGUCCUAGAAUAUUAGCACCUAUCACUAUUAGGUACCCCUUUCAGUCAGGGCUGAAAACACUAGAAAACACUCUUAUAUAACCAGAACAUGCAUCCUACUUCACCUACUCAAUUUCUUCUCCUUAUGUAUUAGGCCCAUUCUAUCUAAAACCAUUAGCCUCCAAUCCCAAUUUACAUGUGAUCUAUCUCUAUUAGGGUACUAACUUUCUAUGUUGUAUUUUGAGCUGUGCAGCAACUAUAAAUAGGAGUUCAAUAAAAUAUAGAAUAAGGAUACACAAACAGGAACCCAUUUAAAAUUAUACUUUGACAAAAGACAAGAAGCAUUUCUUGGGUCAUCAAAUGAUACAUAGUGCGAUAUGGCUAGAACUUGUAUGUAUAUAAAAUAAACAUAAAGUAAUUCUUUUGGAGAGAUGGUUGAGUGCUUGAUAGCUCUGGUCUUGAAAACUGGUGUAGUUCUAAAGAACUAUCGAGGGUUCGAAUCCCUCUCUCUCCUUUUUCUUGUUGAAUGUUUCUUUAUUGGACUAAUAUGCUGUUAUAAAUUGUAAUGGCUCAGCUAGACAGGAUAGGAAAGCCGAGCCAUAACAAAAAAAUAGAUAUAAAUACAAAAAUAUCAACUAAGAGGGAUCAUGAAAAGAACAGGUUCCAAGUCACGAUCGAUUCUUUUUUCAAAUCCUGCUGCCGCUGCACGGGCCCUUCCUGCAUGCCACAAAUGACCCACAAAAAAGAAGAAUCCUAGAACAAAAUGAGAAGUAGCUAACCAACUUCUAGGAGAUAAAUAAUUGACUGCAUUGAUCUCAGUAGCUACGCNNNNNNNNNNNNNNNNNNNNUACCCAAGGAAUUUAAAGAACCUAGAGGAGUGUGAGUCAUAUAUUCUGCUGAACGGUGUUCUUUCCAAGGUUGUAUGUUUUUUUUCAGCCUACUCAAGUCCAACCCAUUUGGACCUCUUAAAGGUUCCAACCAAGCAGCACAGAGAUCUCAAAAACACAUGGUUUCCCCUCAAAAAAUCAAACUUCUGGUCCACAUUAGCCCCAAGGCAUUGGUCUCUAACUAGAAAAGUAAAAGCUUGAGCUUGAGAAGCUUCUGGUCUGGUUGGUCCAUAAAAUUCACUAGGGUAAGCAGCAUUAUUGAACCAGACAAAACAACAAGCUGUAAAAUCAAAGAUAGAUAAAACAGCUAAACUAUAAGAGAAGUAAACCUCUCCAGACCAGACAUGCAUGGCGAGCCCACGCAAAAGGCUUGGUUAAGAUAUGCCAAAUUCCACCAAGUAUACAAAUGGAACCUAACCAUACAUGUCCCUCAAUUAUAUCUUCUAAAUCGUCCACACUAACAAUCCAUCCUUCUCCCCCAAAAGGAGAUUUUAGUAAAUAACCAAAUAUAACACUUGGGCUAAGGGUCAAGUUGGUAAUUUUUCUUACAUCUCCCCCUCCGGGAGCCCAGGUAUCAUAUACACCGCCAAAAUAAAGAGCUUCGAACACUAAAAGAAAAGCACCUAGACCUAACAAAAUUAAGUGAAUACGUAGGACCCCUCUAUUACCACUCUCUUAAGAAAAAAAAAACAGCAGCACAUUUUUUUGACUGUUCCUAUGGAGUUGAAAUCUUACCAGCAUCAAAAACGAGUUCCUAAUAUAGAAUAUCUUAUAUAACUAUUUUUCAACCGCAAUUCAGGAUUGGAAUGCAACAUUCCGCUCGAAUCCACCAGUUAUGUAAUCCCCAUGCUAGAUUUUUGACGAGAAGUAGUACUAUGGAAGAAGGCUGAAGUAAAGUAGACUGACAGGGGGAAAGUGGGCUAACCUGCGGAUGAUUCCGUUGGCCGGUGAGGGCAGGAGAUUCCUCGUAGGCACAAGGACGAUGACAGCGAGACCCGUGUGCGUCUGGCGGGCGAGGGGCGUCGCAGCCAGAGGCCAGUGAUGUCUUGUUCGCGGAGGGCAGCCACUGUAGCGUCGGCGUGCGCGCCAGCAUGCGGGAUGUUGUUCGGGGAGAGGCUGGCAGCAGCGUCGGGUGCCCUUUGGAUGAGCUGGGGGGUGGUGACACAGCCAGAUGUUCAGAGGUCUGUGAGGCAUUCCUGGUCGAAACCAUGGCAGACUCGUAGAAGGUCAUAGCGACUCGUGGACAGGCUUCUUAGGUUCACGAGCAUGACGACCACGGCCCGUUGGGGCGUGGAGCGCGGUGUUGGGCUUAGGGUGAGCGAAGGACAGGAGCUGCGGUGGGCAACGAUGUUGGAUCUGCGGUGGUGGCAUGGCGGCGAUGGCCCGGAAACAAUGUGGUCGUGUCGUUGGUCAGGUGGUGCCCCACCCCUCAGUCUUCCCCUCUUUCUUCCUCUCUAUUCCUAUAAUCAAACUCAUGAAACAGUCCCUCUAUUCCAAAUAUGCCACCCCUUUGGCGGUGGCUCUCCAUCCUUUUAUAUAGGGGUCCACAUGGGCCAAGGGUGAAGGACCAUAGGGGAAACCCAAAAUGUCUAUUGGGCCUGACAAGGGUGGCCCCAAAAAAGGAAGGGGGUGAGGGAAGUAAAGAUACUAGCUCCUCCAAUUGGGCCCACUCAUAUGGCCCAAGGAGGAGGUAUUAGGAUAGAUGAGGGCUCAAAAUGGAGUGGGCUGUCCCCUCCAGCCAUAGACCCGACGUGGGCCCAAGGGUUGGGAAGCCCCCUCAAGUGGUGUAGCGGAACUUGGGGUUCCUUGUCCUCACUCAGGCUCUGCGAUCUGGUUGUCGGUGUGGGGGUGGGAUCUCCAUUGUCACCUUGGCCUCAUGCUGUGGUGUCUGCCACCAAGGAGCCUAAGCUUGGAAACAUCAAGAAAGCUUUUAGCAUAAUUUGGGGGUUAAGAGAUGGAUCGGGAACUAGCUCCUUGGAUGGGGAAACGUGAUGUCCCAAUGAUGGGAUAUCAAAAAGCAAUCUAACCUACACUAAAUGUUUGCAUCACCUUGUUGGUCCAAGCAACGUCAUAUCCUCCUAGAGGAGCGGACUGGCCAUCUGAAUGAAGUCAGGAAACUCCUCCAUGCUACUGUCAAUGCCGAAACUGCCACCCUUCUUAUCUGCCAGAAGAAAGGUCAUGUUGAAAUCCCCACCUGGAGAGAUGACAACUGACACACAGAUGACAGUUCUUCCCAUAAGAGUCUAUGCCCAGCUAGAGAGGUUUGGGCAUAAACAGCCGUGACCAUACAUCUCCAAUUUGUUGCUGCAUGAUAGAGCUUUAUAGUUAUGGAAUGCUGACCCUCUCCCUCCAUCUCUGAUUGGCUGGAUCACCUCCUCAAAAUGGCCCAUCACAAGGGAAACGAUAUUUGGAUAAUAGAGUUAUCUAGAUAUUCGUAAAUUUUAUAUGUUAUCAUAGUUCUACUUAGGGCAACACAGGUUGUGCCAUAUCAUAAUUUUUCUUUUCUAUUCAAUGAAAAAUUAAAGCAUGAUAAUUCUAUUAUUUCUAGAAAUACAUAGAGAAGAUACCCGCUUGGUAUCUAUUAUUUGUGUUCUGGGGUUUACGUUUACAUAUAUGUAUGCAUGUUAUGAUUGAAAAUACAAAAAUGAUUCAAAAUCAAAAAGGUUUGAUUUAUGUAUAUUAUAUAGUAUAUUACUUAUAUUAAUAUAAUAAUAAGUAUAUUUUAUUAUUUUAUUAUAUUUAUUAAAAUAUAUUGAUAUUUUAUUUUUGUUAUAUAAUAUAUAGUUUGCUUAUUAAUAGAGUUUGCCUAUAUUAAUAUUGUACUUCCAUUCUAUUGAUACUUAGUGAUAAUUAUUUAUUUUGUUUGUGGUAAAUCAAUUUAAUUUUAUUAAUUUGAAAUUAAAUAAAGAAAUUCCAUUUUUAAAUCCUUCAAUAAUUCAAAGUAAAUUAUGUAGUUAAUGGUUCAAUUUGACUUGCAUUUUUGAGUCAUAAAUCCUUUUUUUCUCUUUUGACUUUUUUUGUUUAUUUUUUCUAUUAUAAAAGUUUUUAAAUGGCAUAACAUAAGUAUAUAUGAAGAUACAAACAAUUGAAGAAAAUAAUCUCAACUAGAUCCAAAAAAACAAAAGAAAAAGAGGAAUUCCUUUUUAGAAAAGGAUAAGUACCCUAUUUGGUCUCCAGUUCAUUGAAACAACUCUUAUUUACAAGCUUUUUGACCAGUUUCACAAAUUUAAUAGGAAAAAACAACUAGUUGAGUAAUCCCCCCAUUAGGAAAAAAGUAGGUAUAUUAUAUAAAAUAAAUAAUUAAAUAUAAAUAAUUUAUAUUUCUAAUAUAAUCUAAAAUAUAAAUAAAGUAUAAUUUAUAUCCAUUUUUUAUUCUUAUGACGACAUGGCCAAGCGAUAAGGCAGAGGACUACAAAUCCUUUAUCCCCAAUUCAAAUCUAGGUGCCACCUGAUCAACAAAAAACUCGAGAUUUCUUAUCAUGCUGAUAGAAACCUAAAUCAAUGAAUUAUUCCCUAACAGAUAUAGGGGUACAAGUUUAGGCCUUGUCAAUACUUGAUUUUAAGAAGGAUCCAUAGGUUCUAGAAAAACAAAGACUGUUUUUCCUCAAAAUAUAGAUUUGAAGUAUGGUCCAAAAAAACCGGUAUUAAUGAGAUAAGAUAAAUCAAAACAUAAAUCAAAUAAAUAUUAAGAGUAACAACCAACUCUGAGAUUCAGACCCAAGAGAAUAAGAGAUCGAUAAUCUUAUCUUAGUAGUGAAAGAAAAGAGACUCUUAAAAAUUGAUGAUAGGAAAGACUAUAAAAUCUUACUAAUUUAAUUACCUUACUGAACAAUACUAGGGGAGUAAGUGUCUACUGAGUCAAUUGGCUAGGCUGAUGGGAAAUUUAUUGAGGAGUUGUGUAAAGGAAUGAAUAAAGAGACAUUAUCUCUAAACUCAUAAGAAAUUCCUAGUGCUCAAUAAUCAAUCAAUAUGAUUCACCAAUAAGAUACGAAGACUUACUUCCCAUUUGGAAUUGCAUAAAAUUUUUUUACAUCUUAGAGGGGUUUACAAAUAAUUCUGGGAAAACGUCAACGGCUGCUAGUGUAUUUGUCAAAGAAAAAUAGAGUAUGUUAUAAGAAAUUAAUUAGUCAGUUGGAUAUUCAGGAUCCGAAAACUUGUUAAUUCGAGGAUUCAUUUGAAUUAUUAUUGUUUUUUUUAGAUUUUAUUUUUUUUAUUGAUGAACCUUGUAUAAAAUAUAUUAUAAUAUAAAUACAUAAAUUAUUAAUUUUUUAUUUUUUGUUAUCUUAUUCAAAUAAAAAAAAUUUAUUUAUUUAUUAUUAUUUUAUAUUUUAAAGAAUAAAAAAGAAUAAAAAUAUUUACGUUAUGAUUUUAUAAACUCACAAACGAAAAAUAAAUGGAAAUUAACAUAAAAGAUAAAUAAAAAAAGAGAUAAGAUGAGAUUCACCCACUUGCUACUAAAUAUUUUAUUGCUUCACUUGCAAAGAAACAUACAACCCCCACACUAUUUGUGAUUCCAUCAAUUAUGUAUCUAUAAAAAAAAUGAGUUAGUUUAGCUAAUGGAAUUUUUUUGAUAUAGUGAGUAAUGGGUGAUGUGACCCUAAGUUAUUAGAAUCAUUAUUCAAUUUUAAUAAUUUAUAAAACUAGAUUCACCAAAAAUAAUAUUAAAUGAAUAUAGUGGUGAGCUAGGUUGUCUCCUCAAGGAAAGCUUUUUAGAAAUCUUCUUAUUCUCUUGUUUAAUGGGUUAUGAAUUUGAUAUUUAAAGUUAUGAAGGAAAUAUAAUUGUAAAUAAAUGUAGAUGCAAAUUUAAACUUAUAUUAAAAUGAAAUAUGCUUUAGAAUGAUGAAAAUGGAAAAGAAAGAUGUAAAGAAAUGAUUAAAGCUAAUAAAAUAAAUUUAUUUCACAUAUCAAACAAGAAAAUAAUGAAAACCUUAUGAAAAAUUAAACUUACAACCCUUAUAAUACAUGGCUUGAUGUCAACCUCUGGUUAGUGCUUCCUAAUCUUACAUUUAGUUCAAUGGAAUGGAUUUAAGGUGAGAAUGGUAGAGGAGAAUGAUCAAAAAUCGACGGUGCAUUCCUUGGAACUCUAUUUUCGCAUGAAAAAGAAGAACAAUUAUUUUCUCUUAAUAACAACUCAAAAAAAACUUAAAAAAGAUCCUCUAUCUUUUUCUUCUAUCAUUUCUAUUCUCUAGAAUGAUAAAUCACACAUUAUUUUUUUAUUUUAUUUUUUUCAGAUUUUUUUUCAGAUUUUUUUGAUUUCUCUGAAUUUUCCUCAAAAUUUUCAGAUUUUCUUGCCAUUGCACUUGAGAAUAAUGGAUAUAUCUGUUUUACCAGAAAAUUAUCUAUAUUUGUAAAUAUGCCCAGCCACAUGCAUAUUCUAAUAUAUCUGGUUUAUCAAAUGAUAACUGAUAUUUGCACAUGUGUCCUCAGCAUGUGUCAAGCUAAGAGUCGUGCGAUUCGUGUGUCGUCAAUCCACAAUAAUCGAUAAGUGAUGUGGCCACUUGUAUGUCGUCAGAUAGUUGUGGCCUUUGAUGAUGUGUCACUCUUCUAUUUGUUAAAUCUAUGACACUAGAAACAUAUUAGAUGAAUGAGAUCUUGGGCCCACAUAGGCCCACUAACUAGUAAGCCCAUUAAACUAUUUUUUAUUCUUAUUUAAUUCAGAAAAUUCUCAGAAAAAUUUUAGAAAAUUUGUUUCAAUAUAAAUAAUUUAUUAAAAAUUAUAAAAAUUUAGCACAACAGAAUUUUAUUUUAAAAAAUAGAGUAAAUGAGAAUUAAGUUUCAAAAUAUGAAAUAAAAUCUCAUCAAUUUUCUUUUUAGUCAUAAAAUAUCAAUUUAAAUCAAGAUUUUAGGAGGUUCAUCAAAAUGAGAAAAUUAAAUAAUUAACAUGAUAACUUGUGAAAUAAUUCUCAAAUAUGUAUUAUUCUCCUUGAUUUAAUGACACAUUAACAUAUAAUUUUCACAAGUUAUCACACCCCCUAACUUGAAUCAUUGCUAGUCCCUUAGCAAUGAAAAUAAAACGUGUUUAAAAAUUUAAGAAACAUCAUCAAAUAAUCAUGGAUCAAUAAUAUACCAAAGCUAAUGUGAAGAAACCUUCUCUAAUGAAUAUAUGAUUUAUGUCAAGCAUAAUUAGACAAACCACCUUUUGUAACAAAGUAUUUCUCAAGAUAUAUUCUUCAAAACAUUUUCAUGAACUUAAGCAUGCUUCUCAAUACUCUACAUAUAAUAAUAAUUGUACUACAUAAAUAAAGGAAAGAAUUCACCUCAUCAAGAAAUAACAUUGAUAGAUACCUUACACUAUCAAAAAUAUGCAUGCGAUAGAGAUUAUGUCAAAUCUUAUAUAUAAAUGGCUAAGGCACAUGGAAAGUAAUUUUAAAAAUCAUUGAAUAACUAAUGGGGUUUUAUCCUUAGUACUUGAUAUGAGAGAAAUGCCCAGGUAUCUCAUAGUGCACCCCAUGUGCUUUCCUUUGAUUCUACCCCUUGCAACCUCUUUUUUGUUUCUUCAUUUGAAUACUUGCUACAAAAGAGAUACCAUGAUGUCUCACAGCAUAUUCCCUAUGCUUUCUUCAAGUUCAACAUAUUUUUAUUAUAAAUAAUUAUAAUAUUCUUUCCAUGUGUUGCCCUAAUUAAAUAUGCAGCUUAUUUCCCCGAAGAGGUUUUGUAUCCCUCUGUAAUUUAGGGGGCUUCACUUUGUCAUAAAUACUAGUUGCCAAAGAAAUUGACAAAAGCUCUAUCUCAUGCUAAAAAAAAUUGAUUUUCAUGCAAGGUUUGAUUACACUAUAUCAUGAGAGGUGAAUGAGUAAGAUGAGAAGUCUAAGAAUAAGAAAAAAAAUCAUAAAUGUAACUAUGAGUUUGAGAUGUGUGCUUCAAUUCACUUCCAUGUUUUUAACUCACCCUAGGGAAAUAUUUGGACCUUUAGUUUGACAUAAAACUUAUAACAUAAAAUAAGUUCUUCAUCUUGCUCAUCUAUAAAUCAAUCUAUAAUGUAGUCGAUGAUGUGUUGUUUAUUUGACUAUUUUCAUCAUUAAUAUGCAAGAAAUCAUAAAUAAUUUGUCAUAAACUCAUUUUCAUGCACCAAAUUAUACCUAUGAGUUUUUCUAAAUUUACUCAUUAUCCCCCAACUUAGUUGUUUUAUUGUCCCCAAUAAAAUAUGCUAUUGAGAUUAUAAAAGAAAUGAGCAUCAUAGCAUUCAUCUCAAGUAUGAAAUAUCAAUGAAGGAAAGUUUAGAAAAACUCAUUGAAUAGUCGUAGAUGAUUCUUCAGCUCCCUGAAUUUUUUGUUGGUGAUAUCUAAUCAGUGCUUCAAAUUUUCUAAAAAGGGGAAUCAUUGACAAAAAUAUAAAGAUAGUAAGAUUUUCAAAUAAAAGUAUAACAUGAUGGUUGAAAUAUGAAAGGGUGGAGAGUUGAUACCUUAUUUAUUGAAGUAGAUAAAAACUAUAGAAAAUAAAAUUAGCUUUUGAACUAAAAUAAAUCAAUCUAGAGACAAAUUAAAAUGACAAAAAUAAAAAUUAUUGGGUUGCCUCCCAACUAAGUGCUUGUUUUUACAUGUUCAGAAUGACAUAACCUAGUUCAUACUAAGAGAUGAUCUAUUGCCAUCAAAAUAUAUUUGUAUCCCAAAGAAGGUUUUAUAAUGUUCUUUUUGAAGGUAUCGAAAAGUCUCAUCAAAAUAGAUAAAUCAUUGGACAUGCAUAUAUUUGUGAAAGUGUUACAAGAUGAAAAGAAUUCUUCAAAUAAGGAAAUAUAAUUUUCAAAACUUUUGGUCCAAAGAUCUUAUCUGACAAAUAGAUUUUAUUUUCUUUAAAAACAUACCUUGGGAUAGUUUCAACUGUCAAGAUAUGAGACAAAAUAUUCUCAAAAAUAGUAGUUCCACUUGGAAAAGAAUUUUUCCUUAUUUUUGUCUUGUUCAAUAGGGUUUUCGUCCAUUUUGGAAUAUUUUUUAUUGAUGCAAAAUGAUGUUGUACCAAAGAGAGAGUAUUUUGCCAAGUACAAAGCUAGAAACUUAGGAGUUGUCAAGAUGGAGAACGAAGGGACAAUAAAUAUCAUUGGUAUCAGUGAUGUCCACAUUAAGACAAGUCUUUCUAUGAAUUGGAGUUAAAGAAUGUGAGACAUGUGGCAAGUUUAAGAUUGAAUUUAAUGUCAAUUAGAAUGCUUGAUGACAAUAACUUUCAUGGCGAUACAAGUGAUUGGAAAAUCACUAAGGGUUCACUUAUUGUAGCUUUUGGAAAAAAGUACAGUACCUUAUAAAAAAUACAAGCUGUAGGCUACGGUGAUUAGAUAAAUGCCAUGAAAAAGGAUUUUAGUAUAGAAUUGUGGCGUAAGAGGCUAAGAGACAUGAGUGAGAAGGGAUUGCAAACUCUCAAGGAAGGAAGUCUUACCCAAGUUCAAAGGUAUUCGAUUGAACUCAUGUAUUGAUUGUUUGGUUGGCAAACAACAUAAAGUUUUUUUUUCUAGUCCACCUUUGCCUAGAAAAUUACAUAUUUUGGAGCAAGUCUAUACAGAUGUGUGUGAUCUAUUGAGGACAAAGAUUAUUGAUGAUACUAUUGAUAUUUAUAGUAUUAGUGGUACAUUAUACUUUGUCACUUUCAUUUAUGACAAUUCUAGUAAAGUUUCAUCAUAUCCUUUGAAGACUAAAGAUCAAGUUAUUGACGUGUUCAAAGAGUUUAAUGUCAAGGUGGAGAAGGAGACUAAUAGAAAGUUAAAAUACAUAAGAUCUGAUAAUGGUGGUGAAUAUAUGGGCUUGUUUGAUGAAUAUUGUAGGAAGCAAGGUAUUAUUCAUGAGAUGAUAGUCCUAAGCACUCCUCAACACAAUAUUAUUGUGGAGAGGAUGAAUUGUACCAUUAUGGAGAAGAUCAAGAGUAUGUUUUCACUUGCCAAAUUACCUAAAAAGUUUUGAGAUGAGGUGUUGAAGAUAGCUAUUGAUCUCAUUAACCUAUCUCCAUGUAUGCCUUUAGAUGAAAAUGUUGCAGUUAAUGUAUAAAUAAGAAAAAAUGUUUCUUACAAACACUUAAGAGUGUUCGAUUGUCAUACAUUCACAUUGUUCUUGUCAUAGAAAGGUCCAAAUUAGAUGGGAAGACAAAGGAGUGUAUUUUUCUUGGAUACCCAUGUGACAAGUUUGGUUACAAGUUAUGGGAUCCAAUGAAGUAAAAGGUGUUCCGAAGUCGAGACAUAACCUUCUUUAAAGAUUAGAAUAUUGAAGAUAUAAAGAAGGUUCUAGUGGUCAAAAAUUCUAUAAAAGUAUUUAUAAAUUAUGACCAAGUCAUCCAUUAUGAGCGCCAUGAUGGAGGGGAAGAAUUGUAAGAAGAAAGGACUGAAGUUGAUGCAGAUUUACUUACGAGAUAAGAAGAGGAGCAAGGAGGAGAGCUAUCUCUAAUAGAGCCUCAUCUUAGAAGGUCUAGUAGAUAGCAUUAAUCUUCACGAAGAUAUCCAUAAGAUGAAUAUAUUAUACUUAUUGUUGUAGGUGAACCAAAAAGUUAUUAAGACAUAUUAAAAAGUGAGCAUACUAAAGAAUGGUUGAUAGCUAUCUAUGAAGAAAUGGAAGUAUUACAGAAAAAUCAAACAUAUGAUCUUGUGGAGCUACCCAAUGAAAAGAAAAUAUUGAAGAACAAGUGGGUUUUCAAGUUAAAGACUCAAGAACAUACUUCAGUGUCAAAGUAUAAGGCCAAAUUAGUUGUCAAAGACUUCAAUCAAGUGCAAGGUAUUAACUUUGAUGAAAUAUUCUCUUUUAUUGUGAAAAUAUCUUCUAUUCGUGUUGCUCUAGGCAUGGCUACCACUAUGUACUUAAAGGUCGAGUAGUUAGAUGUAAAGACAAUAUUUCUUCAUAGUGAUUUGGAAGAGGAUAUUUACAUUGAGCAAUCAAAAAACUUUAAGAUAGAAAGAAAAGAGCAUCUAGUGUGCAAAUUAAAGAAGAGCUUGUAUGGACUAAAGCAAGAGCCAAGAUAGUGGUACAAAAAGUUUGAUUCAUUUAUGACUAAAAAUAGAUACAAAUAUACUUCUACAGACUAUUGUGCAUACAUUAAGAAGUUCAAUAAAAGUUUUAUGAUUCUGUUAUUAUAUGUUGACAAUAUACUUAUCUUUAGGAAAUAUUUGCCAACAAUUAACAGGUUGAAGAAGGAGUUGAACAAGUCAUUUGCUAUGAAGGACAUGGAGCCAGCAAAGCAAAUACAUGGUAUGCAGAUUUUUCGUGACAGGAAAGCCAAGAAGAUUUGGUUGUCAAAAGAAAAAUAUAUCAAGAAAGUGUUUGACAGGUUUAGUAUUUUUGCAAAACUUGUUUGUUCUCCUUUGAUAAAUCACUUUAAACUUUCUACAAAAUAAAAUCCGUCAAGUGAUGAGGAGAAGCAGAAGAUAAAUAGAGUACCUUACACUUCAGUCGUUGGGAGUUUGAUGUAUAUAAUGAUAUGUAUAAGACCAAAUAUUGCAUAUGUAGUGGGUGUUGCAAGCAGAUUUCUUACAAAUCUAGGAAAGGAGCACUGGGCAGCAGUAAAGUAGAUAUUUAGAUAUCUCAAAGGGAGCUCUAAAGUUUGUCUAAGCUUUGGAGAUGGUGCCCUUAUAUUGGCAAGAUAUACAGAUGCUGAUAUGGCCAAAGAUGUUGACAUAGAAGUCUACUUCCGGCUAUAUAGUUACUUUUGUAAGGAGAGCUGCGUCAUGAUAGUCCAGAUUAUAAAAAUGUAUUGCUUUGUCAAUUAUAAAAACUGAAUAUAUUAUUAUUAUAAAAGUUUGUAAAUGUUAUGUGACAUGAAUUAAUCGUUGUAUAAUAAAUCAUGUAAAUUUAAAAUUGACGUAACGAAACUAUUGGUGAUGACCCUUUGAGUUGAGUGGAUAUUGAGGUUGAUGGAAGAUGGGUUGAAAUCAUGACUUGAAUCCUCAAAAGUCGAGAUUUCUAGUGAAGCCUCCUUGUCUUGAAUUCACAAAACGAAGAAGCUAUUCUCUUGGUGCUCAAGGGCGGAUCUUGAAUCCACAAAACCAACGAACUAACUCCUAGAGUCCACAGGGAUGCUGGAGUCCACCAGCAGAAGGGAGAAACUCUCAAGGAGAAGAAACUCACAAAAUUCUAUUCAUAAAAAUAAGUUCAAUGCCCUUGGGCUAUAUGGGGCGUCCUUAAAUAGGCUAGAGCUUGUGAAAAGGGCGCCAACUUUGAAUUUCAAACGAAAUUUAAAAAUUAGGAGGGAAUUACAUUUGAGAAAGUUUUUGAAAUAGAAAUGGGCUUAAAAUAGAACGAAAUAGGCUUUUCUAAAAGGUGGUGUAAAGGCAUGUGACAGUUAUGAAAGGAAAAUGAAUAGAGGAAAGAAGAGAAAUAGAAAGAGGCUUUAAAUAGGCUAAAAUAGGAAGGGUUGAAUAAAGAAUGGGAUUUAUGGUGGCAACAAUAGGAUGAGAUCUAAAAUAGAAGGUAGAUGAGCUAGUGUAAAGGGUUCUAAAAAUAGAAGGGUCUAAAAAUAGAAAGUUCUAAAACUAGAAGGUUCUAAAAAUAGAAAGUUGAUCUUCAAGUCUUGAAGUCUUCUCCGCCAGUGGAUGUGAUAUUGGCUGCAUCAAAAAUUUAUAAAACUAGAAAAUAUCAAUUCUUGGAAUUUUAAAUGUUUAUCAGAGUGAAUAAAUCAAUUAUAAAUCAAUAAAAGAUUCCAAAAAUAGUAAGAAAUUUCCAAGUCGAUCAUAGGGAUGUAAUAUAAUAUCGAGUAAUAUUUCAAAAUUUUUUUAAAAUAAUAUAACUUUUUUAUGAUUAUUUCUUAAUUGAAUGAUAAAUAUAAUAUAUUUAAGAAAUGCAAAAAAUAAAUAAGGUAAUGACGUCAAGUGAUGUCAGUGCCUGAAGAACACGAAUCGGGCGAAAACAGAGUUCUGACCUACGAUUCUUUUGUAAGUGAUUACUAUCAAAUUAAUAGAUCAAAUUUAGUUUUGUAAAAGCUCGAAGAAUCGUAACUCAAGUAAGAAAUAUAUUGGAUGUUGAAAUCGUGUCAAAGAUUACUAAUUUAAAUGAAAAUAAAGUUUAAAAUAGGAAAAACAGAGUUCCGACUUCGCAGCAGCGAUCGCCGGAAUUCUGUGUGUUCAGAAAAGAAAUUGUGCAAUGUCCACGGCCUCAAAGGCUCUCCUUGGACAAAGACGAUGUGGGUGAUCUCUAGAACUUCUUUCGAAGCCCAUAAAUCGGUGGAAUGGAUCGCCAAAUCGUUUUCGGUGGCUGUCACCGAGCGGAACAGAAAUAUGGUGACUUGUGGCUGUCUGGUGACUCACUCAAUGGAGGUGUACUAAAUGGAGGUGGGGCAUGUCUCAAGGGCUUCGUACUCAAGUUAGCGCAAUGAGAAGAGGCCCUUUAUCACAUCUGGUACGCUCUCAGGAGGUGGCGACUCGUCUCCCGGCAGAUCGUCCUCUUCCUAGCGACGGCUUGUUCGUCGAUCAAGCGGAGAUGAUUUCUUCGUUAAGUUCGCAAUAUUUUGUCCAAAAUCUUACACCAAUUUCGGUCACGAUGCUCCACAAAUUGCAUUAACUAAGUUUUUGCUGAAUUUUUUAUGAUUUUUGCAGCUUAAUCGCUCUCCGGAAAUCGCAAUUUCUUCGUUGGUUGUCCGCUUGUGAGAGAGAGAAAGAGGGAGAGAUGAGAUAAGUACUAAAAUGCCCUCAAUGUAUGACAUCAUAAGGAUAAUUUUAUAAUACUCAAUGAGAGGCAUUUUUGGCAUUUAGAAAAUAUGCAAGAAAAAGUAAGGUGCCGGGUUAGUCCCACAUCUGUUUUCUAGGCGAUUUUCAUGCACGUAUAUUAUAGGCACUUCUUUAGCCAUCAAUAGGUACAAAUCAACCACGUGUGUACGAACACUCCUUGCCCCAUGCUCGGCUGGCCACUGGUGACGUGGAAGGGGAGUGACGCACAUGUCAAUCGCUUGAGCUCGCAGUCCUUAGCCGCUCAGCGGCUCUGCUCAAUUGGGCCUCCCACCCGCUUGCGGGCCCGGGUGGCUGGCAGAUUUUUUUACUUUUUUCUUAAAUAUUUUUUUCAUUUCUCUCAACAAAAUAAAAUUAUAAAAUCAUGGAAUUAAGCAAAAAUUCAUAUUAGUCAACUAGAAACUACUUUUCAUAACUUAACACAAAAAUAAGUCUAUUUAUCAUGAGUUAAGACUAAAAAUAUCAUCUUACUAAAUUAUUAAUUCAUGAUAAUGAAAACUUAUCACACCCCCCAACUUAAGUCAUUGCUAGUCCCUUAGUAAUGGAAUUAAAAAUAUAAUUAUCGUUUAGAAAUUUCAGACAUCAUAUUUCAAUACACAAAAUAUAAUUAAAAAUAAUGAACCUCUAGAUAUUUUGAAUUAUUUUAUCAAUUAUUGAAGAAAGAUAUCAAGCUCUUAAAUGUCUAAACACUCCUUGGAAUAAUAAUAUAACUUUCACUUCUUCAGUCUACAUCUUUAUCAUUUCUUUACUCAUAGAUAUAAUUCAUAAGAUGGUCCAAUUAUCAAAAAUCAUCCAAGCAUAAUAUCGAUCCUACCUUUCCCUUCCCUAUGGCUUGAUUUUUUAAGUUUGCACUACAUUUCUUCUUUUUUUUUUCAUGGUAAAUAAGUAACUUUUUCUGUAAACAAAUUUUGACAAUGAGAAUGAUGUUUCACACCCUCCAUGUGUACUCUUCAUUUCCAGGGCUUUCACAUUAUCCACUUAUUUUGUAGCAAGUGUUUAUCAUUUUCAAAUUAUUUUUCACACUACUCUUUUUUUUUUCUAUUUUUUGAAACAAGUGAUUUAUUCUCAGAAGUCCUAUAGAUCAGGGUGUAAAAAUCUCCAUUAAACUCAAAUGAUCAAUCAAAUUUUCUCAUCAAGUAAAUUCUAUCCAUCAAGAUCAUGAAGUAAAAAAUUUGUAAAAUCAAAUCCAUGUUAUCUAUAAUGUAUCCAAGGAGUAUUUCAACAUUUCAGGCUAUUCAUUCAUUCUCUUAACUCAAUAAUAAUCAUCCUAAUAUCCUUUGGUAUCAAUCAGUUUAAUUGAUUUAAUUUUUUCGUGCACAUAAUAUGAUGUAAAAAAUUAGAUAGUUCUGAAAAUUAUGCCUCUAUUUCAGUUCUAUCAAUUCUAUUUUAAGCAACAAUCUAUUUGUAAAAAUAAUAAAUCAAAACUAUCAUUUUCAUAAUAGUAAUUCCGAAUUUCAACAAUAUAUGCCUAAGGGUUUGAAAUGUGAGAAAAAGGUCUCUAAAAUUUUAAGUUUCGAACUAUUUUUAUUUUUUUUUCUGCUGGUUUUUGACAGUCUACACUCUGCACUAUUUUCUAUUAUUUCUAACAUAACUAGGAAAUCAACACUAUAUUUUUUUCAAAAAAUUACUCUUAUAGAUGAUAAAAAAUUACCAACACAUGUUCUUGUUCAGUCUACAACAUUUAGACUUAAUAUCUUCAUCACCUUAGCCCCCCAACUUAAAUUUGACAUUGUCCCUAAUGACACAAAUUACAAAAAAUGUAAUUUUCAAUCAAGUAUGCAUAUAAGUAAAAUUAAGCACGAAAAAUACUAUAAUAAAGGAUCAAGUUCAGGAACAUAUAAUCUUAGGCUCACUUUCAAUUUCCCACUUCGUCUUACACUCUUCCUCUUGCACUUUUAUUCUUUUUUUUUUAAAGAAGAAAAUAAUACAAAAAAAUAGAUGCUGCGAAAUUCAACAAAAGUAAAGCACUAAUUUAAAGAGAACCAUGGGUUGCCUCCCAUACAACAUUGAGUUUAAUGUCUUUAGUUGGACACACUAAUUUCAUUCUCGAAUUUCUUUUAAUAAUAAAAUCUCUUUUUCUGCAGGGCAUUCAUAUUCUAUGUAAGGUUUAAGCCUCUGUCCAUUUACUUUAAAACUAUGAUCAUUUUUAAUAUCUCUAAUCAUUUUAGCUCCAUGAUCAUAUAUUUCUUCCACCACAUAAGGUCCUGUCUAUUUUGAUUUCAAUUUUCUUAGAAAUAGUUUCAAUCUAGAAUCAUAUAACCAUACUUUUUAUCCAACUUCAAAAAUUUUUCUACUGAUGUACCUAUCAUAAAAGAUUUUAGUUUUUUCUUUAUAAAUUCUAUGAUUUUCGUAAGCUUCAUUCCUUAACUCUUUUAAUUCAUGUAGUUGAAAAAUUCUGUGCUCACCAGCUAAUUUUUCAUUCAUACAUAAAUUUUUUAUAGCCCAUAAUACUUUAUGUUCUAUUUCCACCAGAAGAUGACAUGGUUUCCUAAAAAUGAGACGAAAUGGAAACAUACCUAUGGGAUUUUUAUAAGCUGUUCUAUAUGCCCAUAAUGUAUCUUGUAAUUUUGUGGGUCAAUCCUUCCUAUCUGGUCUAACUAUUUUUCUCAAAAUUCUCUGAAUUUCUCUAUUUGUUACUUCAGCUUACCCAUUUGUUUGGAGAUGAUAUGGAGUGGCUACUCUAUGAUGUACUCUAUUUUUUUUCAAUAGUUCCCUGAAAUGUCUAUUUGUAAAAUAUGUUCCUCCAUCACUAAUAAUCACUCUAGUACAUCUAAAUCUUAAAAAAAUAUUUUCCUACACAAAUUUCAUCAUAAUGUUAUGAUCAUUAGUUCUAGUAAGAAUAGCUUCCACCCAUUUAGACACAUAAUCAACAACAAGCAAGAUAUAUUCAUAUUUUUAGCUGAUGGGAAUUGAUCCAUGAAAUCUAUACCCCAUACAUCAAAAAUUUUAACAACUAACAUAUUACUCAUAGGCAUUUCAUCUCUUUUAUUUAAGUUACCUAUAGAUUGGCAUGAAAUGUAUGUUUUAUUAAAUUCUAUAACAUCUUUAACUAUUGUAGGCCAAUAAAAACCACAUUGAAAAAUUUUCACAGCUAUUUUUCUACUAGAAAAUGUCUUCCACAGUUAAAUGAAUGACAUAUUUUAAGAAUGCUAUGAUAUUCUUCUUCAGGAACACAUCUUCUAAGAAUUUGAUCAUUACCCAAGUAAUAUAAAUUAAGAUCAUGCCAAAAAUAAUUUCUAAUCUUAGUAAAGAAAUGAUUUUUUCUAUUCUUAUCCCACUGUUCUGGAAUUUUUCUAAAAAUCAAAAAAUUAACAAUAUGUGCAUACCAUAGUGAUGGUUGAUGUUGAGCUCCCAUCAAUUACUUAUUUGGAAAUGUAUCUAGUAAAGGUACUGUAUUUGUUCCUAUAUCACUCAAUCUAAAAAGAUGGUCAGCAACAAUAUUUUCGAAUCCUUUUCUAUCUUUUAUUUCCAAAUCAAAUUCUUGCAAUAAUAAUAUCUAUCUUAAUAAAUGUGGCUUUGCAUCUUUCUUAUUAAGUAAAUAUUUUAAUGCUACAUGAUCAGUAUAAAUGAUGAUUUUAGCUCCUAAAAUACAUGAUCUAAAUCUUUCUAAUAAAAAUACUACGGCUAACAACUAUUUUUCAGUUGUGAUAUAAUUUAAUUGAGCAUCAGAAAUAAUUUUGCUAGCAUAUGAAAUAACUAUGGGUUUUGACUCUUUUUUUUGUCCUAAAACAACUCUUACUACAUAAUUUGAUGCAUCACACAUUAUUUCAAAUGGAAGAAACCAAUCAGGAGCUUGUAAAAUAGGUGCCUCAAUAAGUAAUCUUUUUAUUUUAGAAAAAAAUUCAAAACAUUUCUCAUCAAAAUUAAAAGACACAUCUUUAGAUAAUAACAUGAUGAGAGGUUUAGAAAUUUUCAAAAAAUCUUGAAUAAAUUUUCUAUAAUAACUUGCAUGUCCUAAGAAAGAUAUAAUCUGUUUUAAUGAAUUUGGGGGUUACAUUUUAGAUAUAAUAUCAAUUUUCACUUUAUCUACCUCCAAACCUCUUUCACUCACAAUAUGUCCCAACACAACUCAUUCUCUAACCAUAAAAUACGAUUUCUCCUAACUCAAAACUAACUUUUUCUCUAUACAUUUCUUUAGCACAUGCUGUAAAUGAUUUAGACAUUCAUGAAAUGAUUCACCAAAAAUAGAAAAAUCAUUCAUAAAAAUUUCCAUGCAUUUUUCAAUCAUAUUAGAAAAAAUAGACAACAUAUAUCUUUGAAAUAUAGCUGGAGUAGUACAUAAUCUAAAGGGCAUGCGUUUAAAAACAAAAGUACCAAAUGGACAAGUAAAAGUCAUUUUUUCUUAAUCUAAAGGAUUUAUAUAAAUUUGAUUAUAACCAAAAUAUCCAUCUAUAAAACAAAAGAAUCUUUUUCCAGCUAGUUUUUCAAGAAUUUGAUUAGUAAAUGAUAGAGAAAAAUGAUCUUUUCUAGUUACUAAAUUUAAUUUUCUAUAAUCAGUACAAACCCUCCAACCAGUGGUUAAUCUUGUUUGUAUUUCCUCCCUAUUUUCAUUUUUUAUAACCAUGAUUCCUAAUUUCUUUGGUACCACCUGUGUAGGACUAACCCAUUUACUAUCUGAAAUAGGAUAAAUAAUAUCAGCAGGCAACCAUUUUAAAAUUUCUUUUUUACCACUUCCAUCAUGUUAGGAUUUAAUCUUCUUUGUGGUUCUCUACUUGGUCUAGCUCCUUCCUCUAAAUAUAUAUUAUGUUUACACAUUCAUAUCAAUGCCUCUAAGAUCAUCUAUUUUCCAGUCAAUAGCUUUCUUAUUUUUUUGAAUUACUUCUAUUAAUUCUUCUUCUUGCUCAUUAUUCAAAUCAGCUACAACUAUGAUAGGGAAUGAGUUAUUUUCCUCAAGAAAUACAUAUUUUAAAUUAGAAGGAAGAGGUUUUAGCUCUAAAUUUGUGUGAUCUUCUUCUUUCUUCUCCCCUAUAUUUAAGUUUUCAAUUUCCUUUAAUUCUUCCAUCACACAAUCAUCAAUAAUAUCUAGACCAUCAAAAUCAUCUAAAACUUUUAUGGUAUGACAAUCAUACACUUGAGAUUUCUUAAGAUCAUUUGAUACCUCAAAGAUUUUAAUUUCUACUGAUUGAUCUCCACAUGAAAUUUUUGCAAUACCUAUGGGGAAAUCAAUAUUCAUCUUUACUGUAUGUAAGAAUGGUCUCUCUAAGAUAAUUGAGGUAUCAUUAACUGUCCAUUAAAAUUCAUUUCUAGUACUACAAAAUCAGUUGGAAAUUUACAUCCUUUCACUAUUACUAUCACAUUUUCUAAAAUAACUUUAGGAUUUUUAAUUGAUCUAUCAGAAAAUUGUAAUGUGAUAGUAGAUGGUUUAAGAUCAGAAAUAUUAAAUUUAUCACAAAUACUUGUAGAUAAUAAAUUAAUAUUAGCACCGGUAUCAAGCAAUACAUUAUGAAAAAUAAAUCUACCAAUAUCACACGAAAUUAAAGGAGCACAAAUAUCUUUUGAUUUAUAUGAAACUUGAUUUAAUAACAAAGCACUAGCAUGCAUAGAUAAUUUUUCUACUCUAGGUGCUCUCUUUGGUGUACAAAUUUCUUUUAAAACUCUAGCAUAUUCAAGAAUAUAUUCAAUUGCAGUAAGAAAGGAAGACUAAUUUACACAUCUUGUAAAAUUUUCUUUAUUUUUUUAUUAUGUUCCUUUUUCUUUCUUUGUCUAGGUUCUAGAACUUUAGGAAAUGGAAUUUUCAUUCUUUCUUUCAGAUUUUCAUUGGUAGAAUCUAAAAAUUCUUUAUUUUCUUCUUCUUGAUUUUGUUUUAGACUGUCCACCUUUUCCUCUUCUUCUACUAUUUGGGGAUAAAGAUUAGGUAAAAUUUUUCCACUCCUUAAUACAUUUAUUGUCCUAACAUUAUCAUUUCGUGAGUUUUUUCCUAAGUUCAUGCCACUAGACUCUCCUUGUUGAAAUCUAACAGUUGGGCAUUUUCUUGGAUUUUCUAUGGGCUGACUAAGUAGUUGUCCCUCUUUUCUCCUAUUCCCAAGAGCCUCUAUAAUUUGUUUUUGUUACAACAUCCUUUGAUUUAUAGUUUGCUGCAUCAUUUGACUCAUUUGCUCCAUCAUUUCUAUAGCAUCAGAUUGAGUAUGAGAGGGUUGAAUUUUUUGAAAUCUGUUUUCUUAUUUUGGACAAAAUUCAGAAUUUAAAUUGGGUCUAAGUGCUUUGAGAUUUUAAAUAUUAUUUGGGUCUCUCCAUGAAAAGUUAUAAUCAUGUUAUGAUUAUAAGAAUUAAGAAAAGGCUCCCAAUUUCUAUUAAAAUCGUGGGUUAUUUGUACUUGUUCUUGCAUAGGCUGAAAUGAUUGAUCUCAAUUAUAACAUUGAAAUUUGGAAUGCUCAUUUUCACCAUGUAUAGGAUAUGAAUUAUUUGAACUAAAUUGAGGAUUAGGAAGCUUCUAAAAAUUUUCAAUAAAUACAUCAAGCUUAUCUAAUUUUGUAUUAAUCUGAGUAACCUCAUUUCUUAGAUUAAAAUCAUCUUGAUAAUAGAAUUUAUACAUUCCUCUCCACUUAUCCCUAUCAUAUAACUCAAAAGAAGUUUGAUCUCUCAAAUUUUCACUUAAAUUUUCAUAAAGGCUAUAAAUCUCAUCAGAAGUCUUCUCUAUAAAUAGUCCUCCACAUAUAGAAUCAACCAUAUUUCUAUGUUAUUUUAAUAAUCCAUCAUAAAAAAUUCUAUUGAGUUGCCACUUAGGUAUAGCAUGAUGAGGACAUUUUCUAAGUAAAUCUUUGAAUUUUUCUCAUAUUUCAUGCAAAGUUUCUCUUGACCUUUGAGCAAAAUCCAUAUAUAUUUUCUCAUGUUUUGAGUUUUUCCUAAAGGGUAAAAUUUUCAAAGAAAAGCAUGUUCUAUAUCUUUCCAACUAGUUAAUUCUCUAUCUAAGGUAGAUAGCCAAUAACUAGCCUUAUCUCUAAGUGUGUGAGGAAAUAAUUUCAUCUUAAUAAUUUUCGGUGUAACUUGAGGAAGAUUAAAUAAAUCACAUAUCAUAUGAAAUUUUUCUAAAUGCUGAUGAGGCUCCUCUAAAGGUAAUCUAUGAAAAUUAGGAAGCAUUUGGAAAAUUCUUGGAUUUAUUUCAAAUUUAAUAAUGGGUGCUAAUAGAACUCUAAUAUUAUAUACUCUUUGAAAUGAAUCAGGGAUAUAAUGAUUUUUCAUGGCCAUAGGAUUGUUCUCAAUUUGACUUGUGUUACCUUCAGGAUCCAUCGAAAUUAAUUUUUCUUUAGAAUUUUUAAUUUUUGUCAAGAUAAUGAGAGGAUUCUCUAGUCUUGGAUGUAAAGAUCUUAUACCAUGCAUAAAAAUAAAUAAAUUCGAGGCAAAAAAUUUUAAUAAUUGUUACCCUCCUUCAGUUUGCUCAUAUCCUUGCUCUGUUACUCUUCGUGCUACUCUUUCUUUUUUUUUUCUAUAAGAUAAAAAAUAAAAACAAGAGUUAUAUAUAUUUUUUUAUAUUCUAAAAUAAAAAUAUAAAAUUACCAAAUAUUAUGUAAUACAUUUCUAGCAACAAUGCCAAAAUUUGACCUGAAUUAAUCGUUGUAUAAUAAAUCAUGCAAAAUUUAAAAUUUAUAAAACUAGAAAAGACCAAUUCUUGGAAUUUUAAAUGUUUAUCAGAGUGAAUAAAUUAAUUAUAAAUCUAUAAAAUAUUCCAAAAAUAGUGGGAAAUUUCUAGGUCGAUCAUAGGGAUGUAAUAUAAUAUCAGGUAAUAUUUUACAAUUUUCCUGAAGGAAUAUAAUUUUUUUAUGAUUAUUUUUUAAUUAAAUGAUAAAUAUAAUCUAUUUAAUAAAUGCGAAAAGGAAAUAAGCCAAUGACGUCAUGUGACAUUAGUGCCUGAAGAACACAAAUAUGGCGGAAAUAGAGUUCCGACCUAUGAUUCUUUCGUAAGCGAUUACUAUCAAAUUAAUAGAUCAAAUUUAGUUCUAUAAAAGCCCGAAGAAUCAUAACUCAAGUAAGAAAUAUAUUGGAUCUUGAAAUCGUGUCAAAUAUUACUAAUUUAAAUGAAAAUAAAGUUUAGAACAGGAAAAACAGAGUUCUGACUUUGUGGCGGCAAUCGCCAGAAUUCUACGUGUUUAAAAAAGAAAUCAUACAAUGUCCAUAGCCUCAAAGGCUCUCCUUGGACAAAGACGAUGUCGGUGAUCUCUAAAACUUCUUUUGAAGCCCAAAAAUCAGUGGAAUGGAUCGCCAAAUUAUUUCCGGCGGCUAUCACCUGGCGGAACAGAAAUACGGCGACUUGCAGCUGUCCGGCGACUGUCACUCGACGGAGGUGUGCUGGAUGGAGGUGGGGCGCGUCUUAGGGGCUUCGUCCUUAAGUCAGCGCAGUGAGAGGAGGCCUUUUAUCGCAUUUGGUAUGCUCUCAGGAGGAUGCGACUCGUCUCCUGGCGGAUCAUCCUCUUCCUGGCGACGGCUUGUUCAUCGAUCAAGUGUAGAUGAUUUCUUCGUUGAGUUCGCGAUGUUUUAUCCAGAAUCCUACACCAAUUUCGGCCAUGAUGUUCCGCGAAUCGUGUUGACUAAGUUUUUGCUGAAUUUUUUAUGAUUUUUGCAGCUUAAUCGCUCUCCGGAAAUCGUGAUUUUUUUGCCGGUUGUCUGCCUGCGAGAGAGAGAAAGAGGGAGAGAUGAGAUAAGUACUAAAAUGUCCUCAAUGUAUGACGUCAUAAGGAUAAUUUUAUAAUGGUCAGUGAGGGGCAUUUUUGGCAUUUAAAAAAUAUGCGAGAAAAAGUAAGGUGCCGGGUUUAGUCCCACAUUGGUUUUCUGGGCAAUUUUCACGCGCAUAUAUUAUGGGCGCUUCUUUAGCUAUCAAUAGGUACAAAUCACCUGCGUGUGUACGAACACUCCUUGCCUCACGCCUGGCUGGCCACCGGUGACGUGGAAAGGGAGUGACGCACAUGUCAGCCGCUUGAGCACCUAGCUCGUGGUCCGCUCCGGCAGCCGCUUGAGCCUCAAGCUCACGGUCUGGUCCUUAGCCACUCGAGCCUUGAACUCGCAAUCCUUAGCCGCUCAGCGGCUCCACCCGACUAGGCCUCCCACCCACUUGCAGGCCCAGGUGGCCGGCAGAUUUUUUGCUUUUUCCUUAAAUAUUUUUUUCAUUUCUCUCAACAAAAUAAAAUUAUAAAAUCAUGUAAUUAAGCAAAUUUUCAUAUUAAUCAAUUAGAAACUACUUUUCAUGACUUAACACAAAAAUAAAUCUAUUUACAAUGAGUUAAGACUAAAAAUAUUAUCUUACUAAAUUAUUAACUCAUGAUAAUGAAGACUUAUCAUUAUGUAUGAAAGAAUUCUCAUGAAAAUUAGGACUAAUGCAAGAAGAAUAUGUGGUCUUUUGCAAUAGUUAAAGUGCUAUUCAUUUGAGCAAGAACCCCACAUUUCAUUCAAAGUUUAAGUAUAUCAAUGUGUUACCACUAGAUCAAGAAUGUAAUUGAAGAGAAAUAAUUACAGAUCAAGAAGAUUCACACAGAUAAUAAUGGAGUAGAUAUGUUGACGAAUACUUUGCCUAAAGAGAGGCAAGAGAUUUGCCGGCAAUUGAUCAACAUGCACGCUCCUUGAGGAUCAUGAAGACAAUCUCCCUCAUGAGCUACUAAUGGGAGAGGUUGUUGGGUGCAUGGCUCAUUAAAUGGCCACGUCUGUGUCAGCUCAUAUAGCAAUAGAGAAGGCCACAUUUAAUGCGGAGGAGAGAGAUAGGAGAAGACGAGAUGUCUAAAAUGGCCCAUGAUGUGGAUUACUUCUCACACCCCACAAUGGCCUAGUAAUGGGUAGGCAAAACCAGAAGGGAGAAAUGGUUCAGCUGCAAAGCACAUGGCAUGUAACACAACUUACACUUUACCUCACUCUCUCUCCCCCCUUCUUUAUAUAUCUAGGGUGUUAAGUCUCGUUGGGCUUCGACAUUUGUAUGCAUAUUUGAGCAAACAUAUGGAGCCUUUUAAAAAAAGAUGACAUAUGGAUAAUGUUGGCUAUUCACAAUGCACUCCAUUUGUGACCUAUGAUCUAGGGAAAAGUAACGUUAACUUCUUAUGGAUUAGGACAUAGAAGCCAAGUUUGGCUAGAAAGAUAAGUUUGUCUUGAGUUGAUAGUAAUUUGAUUUCUCGUCACAUUGCUUUGUCGACAUAGUCAUUCAAUACGAUGGCCUCAUAAUCUCCAUUCUCUCUGUCUCUCUAUCUCUCUAUCUCUCUUUGUCUCUGUCUCUGUCUCUCUCUCUCGCUCUCUCUUUCACCUCUCAGACACAUAUAAGAAUUGGGUCGGACAUCACAGGGGAAUGUUUCACGCCCACUUUCCAACCGCUUGCGGGAUAUUGGGCUCUACGUUGGUUUAGAGAGGCUAGGGAUGCUCCAUACCUAUUGAUAAUUCUAACUACUCCGGGACAGCACUAAUGAUUUUAUAUUACACAACAAAUUCUGUUUGUUAGAAACAACAGUCUAACCACCAAUUCCAUCGCAAUGUUUCAACUGGACUUUGUGACUAUUAUUCAAUCCUACUAAAAAGCCUACAUAUACAUCAGCAUAUUAAAACAUGACAUAUAAGGGUAAUGCCUAAAAUGUGUUGGCAUAACUAAAUACUUGAAUUAUCUCAAAUGAUUAGAUGAUUACGAAGUUGAUUGAGUAAUACUUGGCUUUACUUAGUUAAGCUAUUUAAUGUCCUGUUGGUAUCUGAUUUUAUUAAUAAUUUGAAGUAUAUACAUUGUUGGAUGACAAGGCAUCUAAACAGGACUCCCUUUUCAUUGAAGGGUAAUACAUCAAAGGGAAAAAUAUAUUUAUCAGAAAAGUUUUGUUUUGUCACUAGUAAUAUGCAUUCCUUCUAUGAGAUUACUACUCCCUGUUCCAUGAGGUCAUUGUAAGUAUUUUAGCUUUUGAGUUCAAAAAUGAACAAAUUCAUUGAGUUAUAGAAACCAUAGCAUUAACCUUUUUUUCAUGUAACUAAAUGUCGAAGUGAAGAACAAUAAAAUAUGUUAAAGAGUUAAUGUAAGGUGGUUUCCAAUAGUGUUGUUUCCAUAAAAAAGUUACAAGGAAGCAUGAACAGAAAAGUAUUUGUUUUAUAAUCUAACUUUAGACAAGAAAGCAUCUCCUAGCUUCAUAAAUGGGCAUGUUUCGAUUAUUCUCCCUUUUCAUCUUAUUGAUGCAGUAUUGACAUGGACAUUAAGUGGCAUUCCUCAUAUGAUAAAAGUCUUCAUGCAAGUUCAGUUGAUUGAACUCAACUAUUCUCUCUUUCAUUCUUUGUAGAACCACUUAGAUAAUUGAAAACUCUUAACUAUAUUAUAUAACUUAUGUGAGUGUCACUGGGAAGAAUGUAUGCUCAUAUGAUAUGAUUAUAUUGCUUGAAAUGUAUCAAUGAAUGACAAUCAGCACAAGACAAGGUUUCCCUAAAAUCAAAGUUUAUACCCAGAUGACGUUAAGUUUACAAGGCAAAAUAGAUGAGUAACCAUAGUUCAAUGGUAGGAAUGUAAAGAAAGAUGUUUAAAGUAACCCGUUGCUCCAUCAAUUAGAAUGGGGAUGCAAAAAUGUGGCGGUGAUGCCAAAAGUCUCUUAUUGGUGGUGAAAAACAUGUUAAACUGUGAGGAAGGAAAGGCUAUGGGUAACACAUUGUUCCCUCUUGUGUUGGGAAUGGGCUUGCAUCUAUAAAUUAUCUACUUUGUUUCUAAUGAUCACCUCUUGUCUUCUGGCUGCCCUUUUUAUGUAAUGAAGUUGCCACAAGAGUAUCAAACUUAGCUAACCAAACUUUGAUAUGUUCAAAAAUUUUUCUCACAAAUCGAGAAGAAAGGGGUUAAACGAAAUGAUUUAUGAUAAGUCUUCAAUAUUAUGAGUUAAUAAUAUAGUGUUAUCAUAGUUUUAGCUAUAACUCAUGAUAAAUAGACUUAUAUUUGUGAUAAAUUAUGAAAAGUGGUUUCUAGUUAGUUAAUAUGAAUUUUUGAUUAAUUACAUGAAAUUAUAUGAAUUUAUACAAUUUUAUAAUUCUAUUUUUUGAGAUAAUUGUAAAAAGAGUAAAAUAAAAAUUAAAAAGUUGAUCUCACAAGUAGGUUGAAGGCUCAAUUGGGUGGCUAAGGAUUGCGAGCUUGAGGCUCAAGUAGCUUAGUGCGAACUGCGAGCAUGAGGCUCAAGUGGCUGACGUGUGCGACACUCCCCUUCCACGUCAUUGGUGGCCAGCUGGGCAUGGGGCGUCCUCUUGCUGUGUUGACUAGAAGACGAAGCCCCUAAGAUGUGCCCCACCUCUAUCUAACUUAUCUUCAUUAGGUGACAACCAUUGAAGGGUUGCAAAUCACAAUUUUUCUACUUUGCAAGGUGAUAGUUGUCAGAGACAAUUUAGCAACACAUUAUAUUGAUUUCUAGACUUCACAAAAAAAUUUAAAGAUUACCCACAUCGUCUUUGUCCAAGGAGAGCCUUCGAGUCAUAGACAUUACACAAAUUUCCUUCUAAACACGUAGAAUUCUGGCGAUUAUUAUUGCAAAACCAAAACUCUAUUGUUUCUUACUUUAAACUUUAUUUUCAUUUAAAUUAGUAACAUUUGACACGAUUUCAAAUUUUAAUAUCCUUCAUAAUUGAGUUAUAAUUCUUCAGGCUUUUACAUAACUUAAUUUGAUCUAUUAAUUUGACGAUAACCAUUUAUGUAAGAAUCAUAGGUCGAAACUCUAUUUCCACUUGAUUCAUGUUUGUCGGGGCACUAAUGUCACUUUGAUGUCAUAGCCUUUCCUUUUGUGCAAAUUCUUAAAUGUAUUAUAUUUAUUUUUCAGUUUAAAAAAUCAUAUAAAAUCAUAUUCCUUUAAAAAAAUUUUGAAAUAUUACCUAAUAUUAUAUUACAUCCCUAUGAUCAACUUAAAAAUUUUCAACUAUUUUUAGAAUAUUUUAUUUAUUUAUAAUUAAUUAAUUAAUAUAUAUUUAAAAUUUUAAAAAUUAGUAUUUUCUAGUUUUAUAAAUUUUAAAUUUGCACGAUUUAUUAUAUAAUGAUUAAGUCACGUCAGCUUCCUUUACUAUAAAGUCAUGGCCAAGGAGACAACUAUGAAUAAUAUUUCUGGACGAUACAUUGAGUGGAAUGCAAAUCCAUGGGAAAUCAGAUAACUAUGCAAAAAAAGAAAAUAUGUGGAAGUCAUGUAGAUAGAGGACAAAAGGAAACAGCUGGCAAUGUCUCGACAAGCGGCUCAUUCCCAACAAGGAAAUAAUAAUGCUUUUAAAUCAGGCGACAGUGAGCUCUAGAGAAAAUCUUCAAAGGCAUAAGUUAAAUGUUCAAUGGCUGAGAAAGAUAAACGACCCAUAUAGUUCACUGAACUAGGAUUUUACUUAUUCCAGGACAGGAAUUCAGAAUGUAAAGUUAAAAACCAAAGUCUGAUGUGACUGAGGCAGAAUGAAGCCGUAAUUCAAUUGAUAAGAGAUCGAUGUAAAUAAGCAUCCUCUCAUUGAUUUAUUGAAGAAACGGCGCAACAUGGCAGGUCUUGGAGGUGCCCGUUAUUCUCCUGCAAGCAAGACGUGAUCCCCUCCUCUACGCCUUAGAACGGAUAACAGCUUCCUCCACGUCAGCAUUCACAAAGACGACUGAGCAUCCCAGGCGGCAGGAUGGGCGCUCCACAUCCAGGCUGCACGGGCAAGACAUGAUCUUGUAGGCCGAUCUUGGGAAUUCAUCAGAUUUGUAUAUGGCGAACCUACUAUUGUGAGGACCAAUGCUGUCGGAUACUGAUCCGCCCGUCGUCAGGCUCUCCUUCUCGACUCUCCACACUGUGGACUCAGUGCACUGAGUAGGCGCCGCAAACAUGGCAUAGAACGUCCCCCCAACUCUCAUGGUUGAUCUGUCCGGGUCCUCUGGGAAGAACAUGACGGGCAGCCCCCUGGCCACCUCCGAUUCCUCCCGGGCCACGUACAGUGGGCACGUCUCGUUGAGGGACACCAGAUUCAGCCCGCCGCCAGUAGGACCGAAGAUCGCCGGGAGCACGUAGUACUGGUGGCCCCGUUUGAGUACAUUUCCUCCAUUGUCGAGGACAGGAUCGGAGAUGAUCGCGGCAUGGGAGGUUGCCAGGAGGAGUGACAAAAGGAGGACGAAUUCCAUGGCUUGGAAUAGAGUGAAUCUUGCUAUUAGGAAACUAGCUGCAAUA